GUUUGAACCAAUACUUGAGCUUUUCUUGUUGUCAUCAAUUUAUUAUAAUUGCGUGGGCCAGUUCAACUCUGAUUCCAGUUAGUACUUAAUUUAUGUUCAGAAUCUUCUGCUGUGUACUUAAUUCUGAUUCUGCAAAAUCUUCUGAGCAUCAUUUUGUUCUGUAAUUCUCUUCUGUUGAGUUUUGCACUUCAAGUUUGUUUCUUUUUUUUGCAUCUUGAUUUUUAUGAAUUGAGCACUUGUUUUCUUCAAAAUGUCUUCUUGUAUAAGUGGAGGUGGCCGGACUUAUGGCUUCGAUCUCGAUAUAGUUAAAUCGACGUCUACUUGUAGUAGAACUUCACAUUCGUCAUCUCCGUCUUCAACGCUCUCUGAAUCAAGCAAUUCUCCGAUUGCAAUCUCACAUCGAAAGCCUAGAACACCGCGAAAAAGACCAAACCAAACUUACAAUGAGGCAGCGGUGCUUCUUUCCACUGCAUACCCAAAAAUAUUUUCCACCAAGCACCUCACUAAGCCUUGCAAAUCUAGCAAAUUGUGCAAUACUUUUUUGGAUGAGCCUCCUGAGUUGCUUCUUCCAUUCCGAACCAUAGACAAUUCGGGGUUUUUACUCCAGCAGCCAAUACUAGAAAAGCCCAUUGUCGGCAUUGAGCCUAAAGUAGUCAAUUCUUGUGAAAGAAUUUGUCAGAGUCCCGCGGGGAGCGAUUUCUAUGGGAAUUCUACUGAAUUCUGUGAUGAGCAGCAGGGAGAUUUUGAUGCGGAGUCGAUACUCGAUGAAGAAAUGGAAGAAGGGAUUGACAGCAUCAUGGGGAAUCUAAGCGUGAACAACGAUAAUAUAGUCAAUGAAAUGACUAAUGACACUUGCAUUGGUUAUCCAUUGGGGCUGGGAUUUAGUGCAAAUUUUGAUUUUGGUUUCGGGAUGAGAAGGGGAGUGAGGGCCUUAAGAAAUGUCGAUGAAUCGAAUUGGUGGAGUUUUCCUACGGUUGAUGUUGUUGACAUUACGCCUAAAUUCAAGACCAUCACAUCUUCAGCUGCGCAAAAGAAGAAAAAGAAGGUCGAGAAAAUUGUGGAACUCAAGUCCUUAAAUUUUCCUAAAGAUAAUAAAAUUUCAGCAGUUGCUGCUGCGCCUGCUGCUGAAGAAGCUGCUACACUUCCAGAGCUGAGUGCCGGGCCACGACUGAAACUAAAUUACGACAAAGUAAUGGAGGCCUGGUCGGACCGGGGCUCGCCAUUUCCAGAUGAAAUAUCAGGGUCGGAGUCAUCAGGAAAUGAUAUUUAUGUACGUUUCUCUGCCACUCCCGUCAGGAAAUCUAGGUCCAAGAAGAAAGUUUAAAAACAAGUCUGUCAUAUGUUUUUUUAGUUUCUAGCAAUGCUUUUCACGCAGGGUAGGUGCGUUCCAAUCAAAUUUUAAUAAAUCCGCGUCUGUUUUUCAUGUCAAAUUUUCAUCGUGCAUCUUUUACGACUUUAAAACAAAAUACUUUAAAAAAAUGUCAUUUUCUGGUAAAAAAAGUUAUACCUCGGUCAAAAUAUUAACGAUGUUGUCGAGAAAAAAGAAAAAAUCUCAUGUCCGCGCACACAUUGGAAUUUUGAAAGAGGAGCAAUGAUUAACAUAUGCAUAAUGUGGUGUUAAUUUAGAGCAUAUGGGGUAAAUUAGUCUGAAAUGUUGUGUUUAUGGUUGGAACAGGCAAGGCUGGCUCAAAUAGACUUGUUCUCAGAGCUUGGAGGAGUGAGAGAAGCUAGUGUACAACGUUACAAGGAAAAAAGGCGCAACCGUCUCUUCUCCAAGAAAAUCAGGUACCAGGUCAGAAAACUCAACGCUGAUCGACGCCCAAGAAUGAAGGUACAUUCUAAUCUUAUUUUUCAUCUUCUCUUUCUUUUCUUACUACCAUACAGUAUGAUUUUUAAUACGUAUCCAGUUUGCCAGUAAUGUGUAUAAGACGGACUAAACCCGACCUCUUCUCAACUCAUGUUAUUGGAAAUCUAAAAAUUAGUUCAAAAAUAAUAUUAUUAUUUUACUGUCUGAUAAGAUUUUAAAACUUCAUUAUCCACGUCUAGUGUAAAAUCCUGAUUUCACCGCUGUUCAAACAUAUAUCAUCGAAUCACAACAAUCAAUUAUUGGGGACCAUACCACGAAUGGGAGUAUCCACCCAGCCCCCUGUUUUUGUAUAGACUGAUUUUGACUCUUCAUCUAUGGUUAAAAAAUCUGUGUCAUAUGUUAAUGCAUCUUAAAAAGUUGUUGAAUGUAUUCAUGUUUGAAAUGUUGCAGGGGAGGUUUGUUAGAAGGUCAAACUCAGACAUGGAUGAGGAAAGCUAAGUGUUGAAAAAAAGCAUUGGGUGCUUGAAUAUACUCACCAAACUGUGUCUCCAAAAUUUCAUCAUUUUUGUAGUAUUUGUUUUCUACAAUAAGUUUGCUGGCUGCAAUGUUAUCAGUAAUGAGGAAGGGAAUUGAGAAUAGUAUAGUUAAGAAGAGGAAUGUGGAUGAAAUCAAGUAGUUGUCCAUAUUGUAAAACAAAUUUUGUGCUUAUUACAUAAUACAUUUGUUUUUGUUUUUAAAUGAUUGUGGUUGUUGUUUAGUUUUUGGAAGAUGCUUUUGGUAGCUUGUUUGGGGAGACAUGCAUGUUAGUUGAUACACUUCUUCGCCUUGAGCAGGCUAGCCAAUAGGUUUUUAUUCAAGUACCUUGUCCAGGUUGAACCUAGAUAUUGUUUAAUUAUCAAAAAUAAAAUAUUAAUUACUUAAAUAAUAUAAAAAUAUGCAGUAUUAUAAAAAAUAUAACAACAAGACAAUAGAAAGUUUGGAGACCAACUAAAAGACCUACCAAAAAUUAAAUAUUAACUAAUUAAAUAAUAUAAAAAUAUGCAGUACUGAAAAUGCAAUAAUUGGACAAUGGGAAGUUUGGAGUCCAACGAAGAAACCUAGAUGUCGAUAAUACUAAAAAUAAAAUAACAAAUUAAGUUAAACGACUCUAAGUUAGUAUAUAUAGUUGUUACAACUAAUUUCUGAUCUCAAAAUUCUAUUCUUAUAUCAAAAUAUUACAAUUUAGUCGAUAAUUUUUCUUUUGGUUUUUUAUUUUAAAAUAUUAAGAGGAAGUUCAAGCUGUAAAUAAACGUAUAUUCGAUCGAUAUUCAAGUAGCGAAAAGAAAUAUUUUCACGGUCCGAAAAUGAUAAAAAUAGAUCAGUCAUAUAAUUAUCAGGCAGCAACAGGAUUUUAAAAACAAACCACCAAGAUGUAAAGGCCCAAACAUAUAUAUACAGACAGCCCAACUACUUUGAAUAAGCUUUUCAACGGUAUCUUCUCUUUUUUUCUGAACAACGAUCAAAGAAAAUAACUCGCGGGAAUCAAAAUUAUUCACUGCUUCUGAGAGUAAGAACGAGAUGAUUCUUUUUCUUUUUGUGGCGAAUUUAUCAUCAUAGCAUGCUUAUAUGAUAACUUGUGAUCUUGUCAAAUAUAUUGUUAUUACACAGUGCUGCACUCUGCUGAUAAAUAUAUAGCAUUCACAGCACGCUCCCCAACUGUUUGAUCAAAUUACUCAAAAAUGUAUUAAGCUGAUAAGACAUUAGGUGACAGUGUUUACGCUGAUAACGAUGAAACUCUAUAAUUUACCCUCCUAGCUGUUGGAUAUCUUAGUCCUAGUUCGAAUCACAAUGGAUUAACUAGGUAAGUUUGUUCAAUUUUAGUUUUCUUAGUACUUUAUGCCAGCCUUUAACAUGAUUACUACUAUGUCCUGUCCAAGGCAAAGUGCGUAUUAUUUAGGAUGUCGAUAUUCCAUGUAACCUGUUUUUGCUUUGAAGUUGGCACUUAGCAAUUAGUGAAACUGUAAAAGUGCCAUGGAAAACAUAUUUGCUCUAAAUUUUCUAGUCCUGCAAUGUAUUUGUUAAUAAGAAACUAGAUUUUGAGAUUGAAAGUGGUGAUACAAGAGAAAUUUAUAUUUAUUAGUGAAUAAAAAAUAAGCUAAUGUAUGGAAAUUAGUUUUAGCAUGUUUAUUAUUUAUAGAGAAAACUGGCCCUGUGGUCCCUCAGGGUAGUUUCCCGAGAUUAUAACUUUGCGCUGUAGAGUCCUGAAUGGCAUCUUACUAAAUAUAGAGUUCACCCUCGUGUUUGACCUGAAUAUCCAUUUAUUUAUAUUAAAAAGCUCCUAUCCUCAGGGCACCCAUCUGAGGUCACCCUCAGCCUCAUCAUGCUCUUAGUUAUAUGUUCUAUAUGCGGGGAUAGUACUCUAGCGAAUGUGCAGUAGUAUAUUUUUUAAUAAGUCCAAUUGUUUAUAGGUCUUAGCAGUGCUAUUGAAAGCGUUAUGCACACCGAGGUGCAAACUCCCCAGAGCCUAGGCGCAAAGCGCAAAGCGCAAAAGCGAGGUGCUCGCUUCUUUGGAGCUAGGCGCACAUUAUACAAUAGUUUUUAAUAAUAUUAUUUAGGACAUAUAUAAAUUUACAUUGGUUAAUAACAUGAUUUAUACUUCAUAUUAUAUUAAAUCACACUUUUUAAGGGCAAUAAUAACUUAAUUUAUACUUUAUAAUAUAUUAAAUCAUACUUUCAGAGGGACAAACAAUCCUAAAAUUAAACGUUAUACUGUAAUUAGUAAUCAACUUUCUAUAUAUUAAAAGAGAAUUAGGGGCAAAAAUAGCUAGAAAAAUGCUAGUGAAAUUACAUACAUGUCCUCAGUUAUUAUAGAAUUCUGACAUUACCCUGUGCUGUACAAUAAUAGUUCAGCCCAUAUCCGUUUAAUCGAUUUAGCUGGUGACUAGGGCAUAAUACAUAUAUAGUGAACCUGUGAUAGAAUCAGCCUUUUCACACAUGCCUCCGUCGUGCGUCAACGAUUGGGGUGAAAAAAUUCGACAGCAGUCUUUAGGCUUCGUUUGUUUAGGGAAAGGAAUUGGUUGUGACGAUGGUAAUUUUAUUGUGCCUGUUAUUUUUUUUUGGAUGCUUGAUGAUGAUUAGUGCUGCUUACUUUGUUUUGUUUGUUGUGUGUAAUCUGAAUUUGCUUCGAAUUUUGAUGCAUUUUGUUCAUUUCACUUUGGGGUAGUAGUUCUGAUGCUUUUUAUUAAUUUUGCUUGCGGUUUGUUUGCGCCUGCCAUCUCGACUAUAGUUAACAUUGUUUGUCUUCGUCAGCAAAGAAAUCUGAAGGUUGGGCUUUGCUCAAAUAAGUAGCGUGCAACAAAUAGAGAGUAGAGUAUUAAGUAUAAUUAAGACAUAUGUUUAAGAAAGAGUGGUAAAUGAUUAAGCAUCAGUCACUGAUGCAAGAAAUAGUGAUAUUAUACUGAAAUAUCGGAUUUUUAAUAUAGAUGACGAUCCAGUAAAAUUCCUAUUAUAAUUGGUGAGUGGUAGAAAAGGAGACAUAAUUCUGUAAUAAACCAUCAUGCAGUAAUAAGAAAAAGAAUUAGCCAAGGUACAUACUUCUUCUUUGUGCUAGUGAUCUGAAUUUUUUCAGCUUUUUGUAUAAUCACCUGCACACAAAACUCCAACUCGAGAUAAAAAAGACCAAUUGCAAAUGAACCAUUACUAAUAUAAAUGCAGGCUUCUUCUAAUAGUUAAUUUUUCAAGAUGUUUUUCUCUGAUAAUGGUAACUUUUGCUUCCCUCUGUACCUUAAUUUGAAUGUGGGGAUUUAGUAAUUAUGAUAUAAUUGUAUUGCGAGUGAUUUAAUUUUGUUCGUGAGUAGUACAUUUUCAAAUACAUUCAACUUUCUUAAAUGCCUGCUUUCCUCGGUGAAUUGGUUUAUAAUUACAUGAUUUGGUGGAUUAGCUGAGGUUCUGAAAGCAUAUUAGGUAUAAGUUUUUCAGUAGUUUGGUCGAGCAUUGAUCUGGCCACGGCACUCCCCGCAUGCUGAAUGGAUGUAACACCAAGAAAACGCGGCAGGCCAAGAGUGUUACUUCAUACAAUUUCACUCGAUCAACUUCGAUAGAAAACUCCACAAAUAUUAGUCAAUACACACUUACAUGAAUUCACGACCCCGUUACAUAGCCGCAGAUUCAGCUGAGAAGCCAUGGCCUCGAUUAACUUUAUACAACACGAACCAACAAAAAGAUCUGCAUGUCCUUCUAAUCGAGCACACAAUAGGGAUACACUAUAGUUCCCGUGCCUUGCACGGGCUUCUAUGCUAGUUUAAGUUUUAUAGGCUAAAUUCCAGGCUUCCAGCUUCCAACUGUAUUAGUGGUAAAAAUUUCAUCCAUCAUCUUCAUCAUCGAAGUCAUCUCCAUCCAAGUCCUCUGCAUCUUCAAAAUCCUCAUCUGAUUCGAACUCAAACUCUUGCUCCCUUCAUACUCAAACUCUUGUUCCUCUUCUUCUUCAUCCCCGUCUACUAAACGGCAAUGCCUCUUAUGUGUACUCUUUCUUGAACUUGAAGCAUCCGUGUUAUUUUGAACUUUUUUAGAUUUUGAGGCUGAUUUUAGCGUUGAUUUUGACACUGAUUUUGAUUGCAACCUGGAGUUAUAUGCAGGCUGUCCAGCACCAAAAGCCUUUUCAACUUUUGACCAAUUUAGUCCAUCAUCAUCAGGGAAGACCAGCUCAACAUCUUCAUCUGAUUCGCCGUCUAGGUUCCAAUCAACACUCACUGCUUUCAUCAACAUCAAGCAAUAAUAUGGGGUCAAUUUUAUCUCUGAGUUCAAAGCGUCGUCUUAAUGCUUUAUUGUAUAUGACAAUAAUUAUAUCAUUUAGGUUUUGUUGUUGGAGCCUGUUCUUCCAACAAUGUUUUGAUAUUUGGUAAUAUUUUUGAUAUUUGCAUAUUUUGAGGUAUAAUACAAAAAAACAAUGUUUCCGGUGAGGUUUGAUAUUGAAAUCGGUGACAACUUCCCGCAAAAGUUUAAAAGCAGCUUUUCCAAAAGCAGGGGAACCAACUUUUGAACAAAAAACCGAUGAUCAGAAAAGCUGCUUUUAUAUUUGCCAAACAGUUUUUUAUUUGUUUCUUAACAAAAAGCAGCAACAACAAUAACAAACGGGGCCUAGGUGGUUACAAAUAUAAGUAAAAAAUGGAGGGGAAAACGUAUGUUGUCGCAGACAUAUAUACAACUUAUAUGUAUUUAACACAACUUGUUUAGUUGUCGAGGGGCACUGCUCGCGCCUUCUUGUCUUCCUUGUCUAGAUGUGCUCAUAUUGUUUUGUAGUUAUUGGAAGAAGGAAAUUGACAUUGUGAUAUUAUUUCCUUCAGAUGGAAGCUUGUGAGACUGAAGAAAUAAUAUAUAUUGAUGAAUGCAUGAAGCUUGCACUAGAACAGGUAUCCAACUCAGAUCUCUCUGUCAAAUUUAAAAGAUAAAGGACGACUAUAGAACUUAAAAUUAUCCAACAAAAUCUUCUGUUUUUUUUUUCCCUAAUAUUUGUAGGUUCUAUCAUCAGCAUGCAAUGAGUUUUGUUUCACUUUGUGUCUAUCACAAUAGUUGUCCUGUAGACAAACUGUUUGGUCUUAAAAUUCUGAAUUCUCAUUACAAAUUCUAAUUAUGGUGUCCUCUUAAGUUCCAUUUCUGUACUAUCUCAAUUCUUUUAGUAUUAAGCAUCCUUUGGAAUUUGGAGCUUAUGCAUAUAUCAAUAUUAAUUACUUCAUAUGCAAUAUUACCUCCUUCCUUUUGCAGGCAAAUCUUGCCUUGAAUAACCUUGAAGUGCCAGUCGGGUAAGCGCUCUCUUUAAGUACUGCUCACACUAUCUUUCUCUCAAAAUUUGGUAAUAGAUUUACCUUUGACUAUUUGAUUUGUUUCGUUAUUCACUUUCAUUGUAUAAGUUUGGUUAACAGUGUGCCUUGAAUCAAUUAAGGACUUUCUUGUUUAUUUGUUUUAAAGGGUGAAAAUAAUGCAAGGAGAAUACGAUUCUGAAAGAGGCAAAGCCCUUGGGGACAUAUAGAUCAAUAAUAUAUAAAUUUGAUAAAAAUAGGUGUGGUAAUCGAUUGGUUUGGGCUUGCUCUUUAAUUUGCUAUGGGGUGUACACCUCUAAUUUACAUAGGGUUUGGUGGCUUGUUUUAUCAGGAUGAGUCUUAUCCUGGUAUCUUCGUAGUAUUUAGGGCUAUGUGCGGAUGAGUCUUAUUUAUCAGUUUUGAUAAGCAUGCAAAUGAUCAUUUUGUCUUCAAAGAGGUAUGACAUGAUUGUAGCAGAGCCUGUGGCUUAUGGGGGGUUUUAGAUUUGAAGAUAUUAAGAAGCUAUAACUACAACGAAUCAGACAUCUAAAUAGAAAUUAUUAUGUUAUCUUUUAAAAAAUUUAAGAACCCUAAUCUUACAUACAGUACAGAUAUUGUGUAGAACUGUAUAUGCACAAAAGUAAAAUAGCCCACAUCAUCUUUGGCUCAUCCACUCAUGAUUGACCGUUAAGAAUCGGAUUGACUCUAAUGGAUUGAUACAAAUUUUGAAAUUCAUGACCAAAUUGAGUCAGUUUUGUAAUGAGUGCCAAAUUUGAUACAUUUGGACCUAAGGAGUCAUGCCUUUAAUAUUUGACCCUAAACCUUUUCAUUUCAGUUUUGUCUUUCUAGUUCUUUUGGCCUUCCCUUUAUACCUGCACCUGCCUCUGUCUCGGCAAUUGACACCUUAAACUUCCUUCAUCCAUUGCUCUCAAGUCACUGUAUAAACAUCAAUGACGUUGCAUUGUUUACAGUCUACACUAGUUUAUUACUUGUAGAAGCAUGCUUUGAAAUAUGACGUGUUGGCAUAUUUUAGUGUAUGAAAAUUCAUUAUAAUUCAAUCAAUAUCUACCAAAUCUGUAUUUAAAUUUAUUUGGUGGCUUUGCGACUAAAUUUAAUACAUUAGAAUGUAUAUUGCAUAAUGUUGAAGUUUGAUAACAUUUAGUUGCAUGAAUAUGUGUGCUAACUGAUGUUUAAUUUGCCACUAACUAGUUGUGUCAUCAUUGAGGAUGAAAAGGUCAUUGCGGCAGGAAGAAAUCGGACAAACGAGACAAGAAAUGUAUGGACUUCAACUAUCUCUUUCAUGUGUAGUCUCUCCAUUUUGCUAGUCUCUCCAUUUUACUUCUUUAGCUUAUUUUCUUCAAAUGGUCUGAUCUUCUACCAUAUUAUAUAGUUGAUGCAACCUGGAAAUUUUAGUAAAUCAAAGUUCUAAAAUUUGGCAGCUGCAUUCAUCUGUUAGAUAUGGAAAUCAUUUUGAUUGAUUUGAUUUUUGUAGUAUAAUGUAUUAUCAGUUGAUGGAAGCUGUUAUUAUAGCCACUAUUUAUUGUGAACGGGACUGAAUGUUUUAACGCAAAAUUUGACUCGUGUAAACAUAUGAUGUACACAUAUAAAAUAAACUAAACAGACUUUCUAUCUUCGUUCUUCCUUUUUGGUAAUUUUGACUUUUGAGUACUGCUUGGCAUUAGUUGACAUUUUUUUUCUGUGUUAACUUUAUUAUCUUUUUAAUUGGACAAAUGUACCAUUGUAUAGUCUGAAAUAGUAACUUGUGUGUGUGUUUGUGUAGCUGUUAAAUUUUAAAACACUGAAUCUUUACACUUCAACUAGCAUCAUGAUUGUCAUUUGCAUUUUUAACUACAUAUGAAGUUUUACUAUUGAUUGCACUGGAGAAUAAUGACCAUAUGACUUAAGUAUGCACUGGCGCAGGCUACCCGACAUGCAGAGAUGGAAGCCAUAGAUAUUUUGCUUGAGCAGUGGCAAAGAAAUGGUCUGUCAAAGGCAGACAUCGCUAAAAGAUUCUCAAAAUGCACUCUUUACGUUACAUGUGAACCUUGUAUAAUGUGUGCAGCAGCUUUGUCAAUUCUUGGUAUGCCAAAUCAUUUACAGUACAGGAGAUUUGAUAGUGGUAAUUUUUUGUUGUGCUUGUCAUUUUGUUCUCUUUAACGCUUUCUUUCUUACGUAGGUAUAAAAGAGGUUUAUUAUGGUUGCGCCAAUGAUAAGUUUGGUGGGUGUGGAUCAAUAUUGGCUUUGCAUACAAGUGAAUCUGGGGGCUCAACUAGGUUAUAUUUUAAGCAUCCUCUUCAUUUGUUGCAAGAUUUAAGAUUUAAUAUCCUUCUUUGAAUUGCUUUAGUUUCAACACUGUGGAUAAUAAGACUAUCAUGCUAACAAACUAUUCUUCUACUACAAGGAGAAUUAAAAGCAUCAAGCAGACAAAGGGCCACCAAAAGCACACACAAAAAUAAACAUAAAAUAUGACCUAAAGUGGAUCACCUCUACAUACAUAUGCGCCACUUGCAACAGUGAAGCGAAGUUACAUAAAGAGAUAAUACUGAACUUUCAAAAAACUCAUAUUCACUCAACGAACACCAACUUUUUUCUGUAAACCAACUUUGUUUCGUUUGCGUAACUGUAUUUUUGCUUUCCUCUUUUGUUGUCAUUUAAUCCUGGUUGUUAAAAACAGCAUAACAUAUAACAGUCCGAAUCCAUUGGUCAUAUUUCAUACUGCACUCUGUUUCAACGAAUGGUUUCAUUCUUAUUUAAUGAUUAUUACUUCUUAUGUCAGGGAUGAAGUUUCACAAGGAAGGGGUUUUAAAUGUACAGGAGGGAUAAUGGCUCCAGAAGCAAUUUCUCUGUUUCGAAGUUUCUAUGAACAAGGAAAUCCUAACGGUAUUUUAAUUGCAUCAUGAUUAAUAAUGAAUGAACAGCUGGCAUUCUGUGCAAGUGUUUACAAUGCCUAUACAUGAGAAAGAAGGAUGAAAUAACUUUAAAUCAGGGUUCAAGUUGUCCAAAAUAGACAAGGAAAGUGGUUAAGUGGAUUUAUGCUUGACACUUGUUGCAUAUAGAAGAUUUUAUCUAGUUCUUCAAAUUUGAAACCCCAAUGUAAUCACUGAGAUUUGACUGAGCACCUGGUAGUCAAUUUGCACUUGAUUUGAUUUCUUUACAAUUCAAAUUAAGCUUGCCUCCCAAUUCCCAAAUGGUGGAAGACGCGUAUACUUGCACAAUAUAUUCAGUAGAAUGUAUUCUGUAAUGAGGCUUCAGCUUUAUUGGCUAUAUGCAAAGUAAACAGGCUUCAUAAUAAUAUAUUGCAUCUCGUAAUAUUUCUUGCUUAAAUACAUUGAAAAUUAUAGCUGCUGUGUGUUGUGUAUUUCAGCUCCAAAGCCUCACAGGCCACUUGCCCCAAGCAUUUGAAGAUGAAUUUCUCCUUUUGUAACAUUGCUAUUAAAUGAUCAGGUUAGCUUUCUGCAAUUUGUUUGAUCAUAUAUCUUACAGUUUCAUUUUUAUAGUGCUAGUUUUGUGAACUACUAUUUGACAACUUUAAUAUUGUGAUGAAUUGUGUGCAUUUUUUAAUAUUGUAUUCGAUAAUGUUUGUGAUUGUUGCUUCACAGCUAAUUGUCAAGAACAAUCGAUGGAAAUGGGUUCUUUGCAUAGAGACCAUACACUUGCUUUCAGGCAAUCUUGUAUUUUAAAAUAGAUGAAGUGGACAAGCUUCUUGACAUGCAAGUGACUGUUGAUAAAAUUAAUUAGUACAGUAACUUUCAACACAAUUUGUAUUUAUUAUAAAUAUUUAAUUGUUUAAACAGAAUAUAUUAUGUAUUUAUUUUUAUUUGGUUGAAUUAUGAUUCCAAAUUAUUUAAAUAGUUACGUUAUCUUUAAGUGUUUAGUAAGCCGAUUAAUUUUUUUGUUAGUGAGAGUAUGCCUUGGAAACGUUUUAGUUAAGCUCAGUCUAUCAUAGACUAUUCAGCUGUCUUGUUGAGAUUACGCUUCUAAUAAUUCCCACUUGAGUAGGGGGGAAAGAAGUCGAAUGCUUUUGAAUUAUAGCAUGGGUUUGUUCGGUUCAGAUUGCUAAUAUAAUGAUCAAAUUCGACUCAGAUUUGAGUAUAGUGAAAAUUUUGGAACUUGUACUCGACUCUUAUUCGAAUUGGUAAGCGUGUUCUUUUAACUCGAUUCGAUUUGAAUUAUGUGAUUAUAUUUGAAUUAAUUCGAAUUGAAUUUAAAUAUAACACAAUUCAAAAAGCUGUGAAACUUGAUAUUUGUUAAAUGUGAUCUCUAAUAAGUAAUAAUUAUAAACAAGAGAUUGUAUUACAAUUCUCAUGAUAAAAAAGACAUGAAUAAUUUACGUCGUAAAAGAGAUUGUAUUCGAAUCAGUAUUAAAGGAAUACAAGUCCACAAGUCCUGGUUAUAUUUUUUUUUUAACCGAAUGCAAAUUGCUUACGGUCAUUUUCAGCCCUACUCGAGAUAAGUUAAUCUUCUGAGGUUUAGAAAUAUCAUAUUUUUCCUUCAGGUCACUUAUGUGGUUUCAGCGUGCAUAUUUAAGCAUCUAAUCAGAAGAUUCAGACGCCAAAAAUCACUGUUUAAUUCUGCUGCAUCUGCUUGAACAUCUUUUAAAGAACUAUUAGUAUUUUACGUAAAACCGGAACUCUGAUUCCCACAAACUGUUCUUAGGAAUAUAACCCGAACUCUGGAUUUCCACAAAUAGUCCAUAGUUACUGAUAGUGGAAGAUUAUACAAUGUAUUCUAGCUUGUUAAAAGAUGAACCAAUUUGUUCAAGUUUCGAGAUGAGGAGCCAUCAGGGCUACAGGCCUUCUCUGCUUUCUGUUUCCACUCCAUAGCCUUCUUCUUCAGUUUUUUACCCUCCACUCCCUCCAUCAAGAUUCUCACAAGCUUCUCUACAUCGUCUCUCCUCACGUUAUCAUCAACCUCCAUUCCGCACUCCCAUUCUGUACAAAUGUACCUACAGUUAGUCACUUGAUCUCCGAAAAAUGGUAAACACAGCAUUGCUACUCCAGCGGAUAAGCUCUCAAUUGUCGAGUUCCAACCUCCAUGUGUCAAGAACCCUCCCACUGAUCUGUGGUUAAGGACUUGCUCUUGAGGACACCAGCUUGAAAUGAAUCCUCUCUCCUUUAUGCAUUCCAUAAAUUCAAGUCCUAAAGUAGUUUUGGAUUCGCCAACAAUAAAGUCAGGUUUUAUUAUCCACAAGAAGUUCUGGUGGCUAUUAGCAAGACCCCAACCAAACUCCACUAACUUCUCCUGUGACAUGAUUGCUAAGCUUCCAAAGUUUACAUAGACAACAGAAUCAGCUUCUUUAGAGUCUAGCCAUUGUAGACAAGUUUUUUCCUCUUCCCACAGAUUAUAUCCUAUGCCCUUAAAAUCUUCAUGAUCUGGUUCCAGUAAAUUAAGAAGCAACUGUUGAGGGCCUAUUGUGUAGACAUUGGGAAACAAAGAUGAGAUGGCAUUUACAACUUCUUGUUCCAAAUCAUCAAACGUGUGAAUUACAUGUCCUGUACUAUUCCUCGCGUUAUUCAUAGCUUCCUUUGUGUACUUGAGCAUUAUAUUUUCCGUAUCUGUAGUCUGGAUAAAGGUCGGGAGAUCCCUUAGACGAAUAUUUUUCAUUCCAGGAAUCCAAUCUAAGAUUGUAUUCAGAUCACCGUUCCUUUGAUAGAGCCCAUCUGUAUCACAUUAACAAUAGUUGUGUCAUUGCAGUCUGCAAGUGCGUGUGUUGAUAAUGCAAGACCGUGACUAGGAAACCAUACCUUUCACUGUUGCAAGACCCUUUUCAAAAAGAUUAAGAACCUGGAAAGAUCCCAUCAAUCCACAGGCAGAAACAGUCCAAAUUGAAAAGAUAGGAAUUCCAAGUGAAUGUGCCGCAUCAGUUGGGAAUGGCAUAAAACCAUCAGAGAGAAUGGAAGUGACUGGAAGGACUCCAGCAUUUAAUUUUUCAAUAAGAUUUUGAAAUGGAGGUAACAUUUUUUUGUUGAAGAUGGACUCAGAAAGGGCAAGUAUGUCUUGGUUGGAGUUGUCAUCCGAUGGAGGGAGGCCAUCCGGGAUGGUCUCGAAUCUGAAUCCUGGAAGGUCAUCAAGAGAUUGAAGUGCUCCAGAAUUUAGUAAACGUUUGUGGAUGAACUCCGUAUUAACACAUGUAAUGAAAAUGCCUUUGCUGUGCAGGAGCUUUGCCAUCUUUAGCAUCGCUUUUAUGUGGCUUUGAGCAGGGUAGGGAACGCAGACAGCGUGAGCCUGCUUCUCCGAUAAUCCUGACAUUCCCUUCUGUUAAAAGUUUUGUUAGAUAUCAACUCUUACUACACUCCACUGUCAGUUUAUAGCAAAACUAGAAAUUCCCCAGAGGUGACAGCAAUUUAGCUAAAAGCGUCUAAAACCCCCGAAAUGUAUUGUAAUACAUAAUCGGUUUGGCUAGUGUGUGCCCAUGGGCACAUGCUAAGCGCGGAAAUUUUUGUAUUUUGGGAGAUUUUGAUUGGUUUGGUUGGUGUAUUUGCGGGGGGUCCACCAUUAUCAUUAGAUAGGAGCCAAUCAAAAUGAUCCAAGCACAAAAUUUUCCACGCUUAGCAUGUGCCCAUAGGCACACCAUAGAAAAACCGAUACAUAAUUAUUGAUGACUACUUUCCAGCAUUUUAUUUUGUUAAAAUGUCGGAGGUUUAUUGUGUACUGUGGCAUUCAUAAAGCCAUACAGAACUAUGAGCGAACUGCUGCAAUUAUAUACAUAUUACUCCCAAUUUUUAUUUUAUACUGUCUUGUACUCUCUGAGUUUUUUUUGUUUUUUUUUUUUUUUUUGACAAUUUAAGCUUUUAUGUAGUAUCUGUUCUCUGAUAUUUCCUGGGGUGAGUCUCUAAGACUUAUCGGGAUGACUAGAGUAGAAACAGAUGUUGCGACGAAGGCUAUCCAAUCGCACGUAUAUCACGUAUUCCCAAGUUUUAAAUACAAGAGGAGAGGAAAAAAAUUUGUAAAUUUUCAAUCUAGCUUGUGUUCUCUAAUUUAUUUAUUUUUUUAAAAUAAGAGAAUCGAACAGAUUUGGAAAAUAAAAAAUUCUCAUAAAUUGCUCUCCAUAAUUUUCUUCCUCAAGAAAGGAUGAUUGACAGAUAAAUUCUCGUACAUGUAACAUGUUCCUUUCUAUUAAAAUUUUCUCUCCCAUCACUGCACAUCUGCAAUGAACUCAUGAUCAUUCUAAACUAACUUUUUGACCAUACACUUAACACAGUAAGUUAAACAGAGUUGUUUGCGGUACACGAACUUGCAUGAACAAUGUUCCAGUUAAAACUCGAGAUUGUCAGCAUGAUGAAACAAUCUCAACAGCUGGGCUGGUUUACACGCUUAUCUUGGGCUGUUUACGAUCUAUCUAGUUUAUUAAGCACGAAAACGAACUGUUUAUCUCCUAUAUAAAGAGUAGUUUACUAAAAAGUUCGAACUCGAAAUGUAGAAUUGAGAUAUUGUACCUGUUUUUAUAAAAUGAAGAGCAGAGCUGCCGGUGAAACAACAGAAGCAAGAAGCAGGAGCAGCAAAUCAGAAAACCAAGCUUUUGAGAUUUUAAGUUUCGGCAGAGAGUGAGAAACGUGUAUUACACUAUUUCUUUGCAUUCCUCCUGUGUGGCCUGUGUAUAAGUGGCAGCCUAUCUGCCACGUUUCAUAUGUUCUCAGUUUUUCAAAUAAGUUGAUUGUAAAUAAUUGAGCAGAAACACAAGAAACUUUAUUGAUACCAAACUUCAGGCUUACAAAGGUUUUUUUUUUCUUUUCCUGGAACUAUGCUAUGCUCUAUAAGGUUCCAGAAUUUUCUUCUAAUGUUUUUGAUUCUAUGAACCUUCUUAAUUAUAUUGUCUCUUCAUUUACCAAAUACCUUUAAUCCAGUGGCCUGUUUGAAAAUUGGAUUUCAUUUGGAAACCUGGAUCUGAUCAAAUGACAUGUUUGGAUAUAAAAAAAAAAAAUGGAUUUAAAUUUCAUUUAAAAUCCAGGAUAUUCAAGUACUAGUAUAAACACUACAUGCUUUAACUCCUGUGGACAAUAUCUAAACACUCAUAAGCUGCGAACAGUAACCUUUCUUCAUAUUUAUCAUGUUUAGAAGAGAUCUAGCUUGUCAAAAGAUGAAUCAAUUUGCUCAGGUUACGAGAUGAGGAGCCAUCGGGGCUACAGGCCUUCUCUGCUUUCUGUUUCCACUCCAUAGCCUUCUUCUUCAGUUUUUUACCUUCUACUCCCUCCAUCAAGAUUCUUACAAGCUUCUCUACGUCGUCUCUCCUCACAUUAUUAUUGACCUCCAUUCCGCACUCCCACUCUGUACAAAUGUACUUGCAGUUUGUCACUUGAUCUCCGAAAAAUGGCAAACACAGCAUUGGCACUCCAGCCGAUAAGCUCUCCAUUGUCGAGUUCCAACCUCCAUGUGUCAAGAACCCUCCCACUGAUGUGUGGUUAAGGACUUGCUCUUGAGGACACCAGCUUGAAAUGAAUCCUCUCCCCUCUAUACAUUCCAUAAAUUCAAGUCCUAAAGUGGUUUUGGAUUCGCCAAAAAUGAAGUCAGGUUUUAUUAUCCACAAGAAGUUCUGGUUGCUAUUAGCAAGACCCCAACCAAACUCCACUAGCUUCUCCGGUGACAUGAUUGCUAAGCUUCCGAAGUUUACAUAGAGAACAGAAUCAGCUUCUUUAGAGUCUAGCCAUUGCAGACAAGUUUUCUCCUCUUUCCACAGAUUGUAUCCUAUGCCCUCAAAAUCUUCAUGAUCUGAUUUUACUGAGUUAAGAAGCAAUUGUUGAGGACCUAUUGUGUAGACAUUGGGAAGCAUAGAUGAGAUGGCAUUUAAAACUUCUUGUUCUAAAUCGUCGAACGUAUGAAUUACAUGUCCUGUGCUGUUACUUGCAUUUGCCAUAGCUUCCUUUAUAUACCUGAGCAUUAAUUCUUCUGGAUCUGUAGUCCGGAGAAAGGUUGGGAUAUCCCUAAGACGAAUGUUGUUCAUUCCAGGGAUCCAGUCUACGAUCGUAUCCAAAUCCCCAUUUGUUAGAUAGUUGACAUCUGCGUCACAUGAACAAUAGUUGUGUUACUGCAAGUGUGCUGUUGAUGCAUAAACCAAGAUAAAAAAAGAAAAAAGAAAAUCAUACCUUUCAUUGGUGCAAGAUCCUUUUCAAUAAGAUUAUGAACCUGGAAAAAGCCCAUCAAUCCACAGGCAGCAACAGUCCAAAUUGAAAAGAUAGGAAUUCCAAGUGAACGCGCUGCAUCAGUUGGGAACGGCAUAAAAGCAUCAGAGAAAAUGGAAGUGACAGGAAGGGCUCCAGCAUUUAAAUUUUCAAUAAGAUUUUGAAAUGCUGGUAGCGGUUUUUUGCUCAAGAGGGAGUCAGAAAGGGCAAGUAUGUCUUGGUUGGAGCUGUAAUCUGAUGGAGGGAGGCCGUCCGGGAUGGUUUCGAAUCUGAAUCCAGGAAGGUCAUCUAGAGAUUCAAGUGCUCCAGAAUUUUGUAAGCGUUUGUGGUUGAAUUCCGUAUUAACAAUUGUAACGAAAAUGCCAUUGCUGUGCAGGAGCUUGGCCAGUUUUAGCAUUGCCUUUAUGUGGCUUUGAGCAGGGUAGGUAAUGCAAACAACAUGAGCCUGCUUCUCCGACGAUCUUGCCGAUGAUUCCAUGCUCUUCUGUCAAAUUUUUCAUUUAGUAUUAACUUCUACAACUACAGUAUUAUACACCUACCCGAACUAGUCUUCGUGUAAUCAUUACAAGAAAAAUGAUAAUAAUAGAUAUCAAUUUCUGACGGAUGUCUUUAUUUUUUCGACCGAUGUUGAUGUAAGUGAUGUCCUAUUCUAAACACCGGCCAGAAACUGAUCUCAACCUUCCUUAAAAAUUUUUAAGUACAGUAUUGGUGUUUGUAAUGCAUAUUAGUUCAUAUCAGUCUUCCAAUCUACUCCAUAGAAUUAUUUCAAAUUUAAAAAUGAGCGUAAACGAACCAACAAGUUACACAUAGACUCAUCUUGACUCCCAGAUACAAAAACCUCAAUUAAUAAUUGUUAUAUCAGUCUUCCAAUCUAUAAGUCAUGAGUGAUUCUGUAGAAUUAUUUUCAAAUUUAAAAAUAAACAAACCGACAAGCUAAACAUAGACUCAUCUUAACUCUCAACAAACAAACUCAAGUAAUAAUUGUUAUCGGACCUCAGAACUGAGUUAUUUUUUCUCUGGAUAACACAUAUUAACUUAAACCACGUAGGUUAUAGUCAUUUCAAACCAAAAAAAUCACUAAAAAUAUUCGGUAACAAAAUCUGUCAGAACCUAGACCCAUCAACAAUGCCAUGAAUUAAAAGACGUACCUGUUUUAACGAAGCAGUACUGCGAGUAAAGCUACAGAAGCAUGAGAUAGCAGAAUAAAAAAAGAACCAACUCUUUUCGAGUUCUUCCCUUUCUUUUGUUAGAGAGAAACGUGCAAUACUUUGCAUCCUUCAAUCUUGUGCCCGCCUGUUUCUAUAUACUUCACCUCGGCAGUGGGGGCCAUCGCCCUGUUUGCCACAUGUUUUUCCAGAUAAGUUAAUAUAUUAAGGAACGUAUGCAAGUCUUUACAAAAAAAAAAAAAAAAAGGAACGUAUGCAAGUAUUCUUGGACGUCACGCACGGGAGCUAGGAAAAUUAGAAACGGAACUGAACUCAAGUCGAAUAAAACUGAUACAAACAGAACUAUGUCGAUUCAAUUAAGAUAUCUAUAUCUCCGACCAUAAAAAUCAUUUAACUAGUGAGUUAGCUUAUCAAAAGUAAAAAAAUAUAAUUCACUUCUUGAAAAAAUCAUACGAUACUCAUCUUUUGUCUAUAUAAUUAGCUAAUUUUUAUGGAUGAUUAUAUUUGUCGAACUUUGCAUGUCGGUAAAAAAUCUAUACAAGGAUUACACCAUUUAUUGUCUAUCAUAUUGAACUAUAUAUUCUUUUUUAACAAUCUAAAAUCACAUUUUAUAUAUUACAUUUUUUAAAAUUUUAGAUACAUAAGUCUAGCUUGGUACGUAUAAUCCAUAUGCUGUGAGAAAAUAUAGUCAAAUUUUAUUCCAUUUCCACACUUUGUUAUUAAAAUCUCUUUUCAUAUAAUUUAUACCGAUAUUCAUAUUCACUAUAUUCAAUUUUGAAAUGAAGACUUUUUUUAUAAUUUCAAAUUAAUAUAGCCUCUUUCUACUCCACAAUUGUAGCUCUUGAUAAGGAAUUUUUUAUGUAUUAAAUUUUUUAAAUUUUUGGAUAGAUGGAUCUAGCAUGCUACAACUCAUAUACAAAUAAGAAACAUAGUCAAAUUUUAUUUGAUUUUAAUUGAUUUUGACAUUUAUUACUAAAAUAUUUUCUCGUUUAAUCUGUGCAGUUUUCAUAUUCAUUAUAUAUAAUUUUCAAAUCAAGACUUUUUGUUAUAAUUUCAAGUUAGUGGAGUAUUUUUUUUUCACUCCAUAUUUAUAGCUCUUGAUAAGGAAGUUUUCAUAUAAUUAGGCUUUUGAUAUUUUUGGAUACAUAGAUUUAGCUUCUAUAAUUCAUAUGCGAAUAAGUAAAGUAAUCAAAAUUUAUCCGACUUUCACUUAAUUUGACAUUUAUUAAUACAAUCAUUUUUGUGUAUGGUAUGUACUGAUUUUCAUAUUUAAUAUUUCAAAUCUGGAUUUUUUGUUAAAAUUUCAAAUCAAUAGAACACUUUUUAACUCCACAAUUUUAGCUAUUGAUUAUGAAAAUUUAUAUAAAAGAUUUUUUUAAUUUGCAUAACUAGUUACAGAUAACUAAUUAUGAAUAAUAUAUAUAUAUAUAUAUAUAUGUAUAAUAUCUAUAUUAUAUCUACCAACUUUUUAACUCCACAAUUUUUAUUAAGAAUAAUAUAGAUAUAGAUAUAGAUUAUACAAUUUCGUCAGCUAAUUAUUCUAUUUCUUAUUUUAGUCCUAAUUAAAAUAUUAUUUUUAAAUUAUUGCAGAAUAUUUUUAUUUUAACCGGAUCAAAAUUACGACCAUAAUCAUGAAUAAGGCGGCAUAUAAAAUAUUAGUAAGAUAACUCAUAAACAAAAUUAAAAUAAUUAUAAUAUAUUUAUUAUUAUAUAUUAAUACAAAUAUAUUUUUUAAAGUGUUCGUACAUCAUUUGAAUUUUUAAGAAAUAGAUAUUUUUAGAAAAUAUCCGUGUAUGACAUGUUAUAAGUUAGUAACAAAUGAUACAUAAUUUAUAAAUAUUUUUCCACGUGAGUAAAUGUUGCUCUCAGGAUAUAAAUUUGAUAGUUCUUCUAAUUAGAUUAUAAAAAGAAGUUUAUGAUAAGUAUAACCACCAAUUAGAUUAGUGCUAGAAGUCUUACCUGUUUUUUCUCUAUAUAUAUCUUUUGAUAUACCCUAAAAAGAAUUCGUAAACCUAAUAGUUAAGAGAGACUAGUGAGAGAAACAUACCAGUUGUUGGUUAGUUCUUUGUGAAUACUGACAAGAGGCCUACCAACAUUCGGGUGUUCGUGUGAAUAUCGAUAGAGACGUAUAUUGCACACGCGGAGGACGUUGGUGAUUACAGCAAGUAAUUAAGGACAUCCAAUUGAGAUACAUACAUACGUAAACCUAAUAAGGUAAUCAUCUAUCUUCGAAUAAAAUCUUAUGUUUUUGUAUGGAUCUUAGAGAGGGUUUUGAUUUUGUAAUUUUUUUUAAUUUUUCCGUUACUUUUUAUGCUCAAAACCCAUCACAAAUGAGUAUGAAUGCUUUUACAAAACGCUAUGAGAAGUAACAAAAGCAUCUCUAACGAUUUUAGCUAUAAAUAAUUGAUUAAAUUGGACUUGUAAAAUAUCAUGUGAAAUUUGUCGAACUUGUAGGAUAAUUUGCUUUAACUGUAUUGGCCAUGCAGAUUGAUUAUAUUUUAAAAUUAGUUUAUAAUAAUUAUUAAAGUUCUUAUAAAUAGAAUAUAUUAUUUUAAUAUGAUAAUAGAUUACGUAAAAAUUUGUUAUAGACAUCAAGAGGUUGGGCCAACAUGAGGAGGUUGCCUAUAAUUAUAAGUAAAAGUAAUGUUCCAUUGGAGUUAAGUUUUCUUUUACAUAAUCUUUAUAUUUUUUUAGUCUAUAGUAUGUCUUAAUGAAUUUUAAGUAAGUAUUUUGUAGAAUUGAAAAUACGUUAAAAGUAAUUUUGAUAAUUUCUGAACUUGACAAUUAUUCAAAAUACUUAACCUCUAAGUUAUCAAGAUAUCAUCAAUAGUUCUCCUCUUUUACUUUUAAAGAUAGGUCGCUUGCGAUCGUCAAUUGCGAUGUUACUUGAUAUGGUCAAUUGCGAUGUUACUAUUUUUCAGAGAUGUUGUUGCAAUUUGGAUCGAUUGGGAUGUCUUUGUUUUUGUUUUUCGCUUCAAGAAUUUUUAAAUAUGUGUUAAACGAUCAUGAAACAAAUCAUCUAAUUGUUUUUAGUAUGUUAUUUGUUUUACCACCUGGUUGUAUCGACGAUUGGGAGUUUGUCCCGGCUGUAUUAUAUUCAAGUUAAUGAAAUUUUCUUGCAUUUGCCAAAAAAAAGAAGAAAAAAGAUAGGGUCGCGCUCAAAAGAGAAGCAGUCCUUAAAAUAGAAUCAGAGAAUCAUUAAGGUACUGCUACAGAACCCUAUAUUUUAAAUAGAUUUUUAGGAUCUAAAUUUAAAUACAUGUUUUUUUCAUGUUUUUUCAUCGUUGUGUGUGUUCAAAAAUAAAUUUAAAAUAUAAUACAUAGAUAUUGAUAUUUUUUGCAUGUGAAGUUCUGCUGCAGAACCCUAACUAAUACUAGAAGUAAGGUAAGAGUUUUAUGAGUUUUCUCUCAAAUGGUUCUAUCUUGAACAUGACUCGGAUAAAGAUUUUGUCACCGAUUAUCAUCAAAAAUAAUUUCGAUAAAAUGUAUAUUAUACUAUUAAAUUUUAUAUAUUUUUUAAUAUAUAAUAUGUACAAAUUUUUAAUAAAGUUAUAUCAAAUCAAAUUUUUACAAAAAUCAUGAAACUAAAAUAUAAGAUUUUCUUUGAAAAUUCAUAAAUAAUCCGAACAAUACAAAAAUACUCUGACAAAUAUAUAUUACAAACGAUACAUAAUUUAUAUAGAUUUUUCCACAUGAGUACAAUAAAUGUUGCUCUAAAAAUAUAAAAUUAGCUAAAAAAAAUAUUAAUGCAGGGGAUAUAGAGUUGGCAAAUCAAUAUACUUAUACAAAGGAGAAGCGAGGGGCGUGUAGUUGGCGCCUCUCACAUCGCUGCGUUCUAUUUUUCUAAUUUUCUGAAAUUUUUGGAUGAAAAAUAUCAAAAAUUAGAACUACCUUUUUUAGUUUCGGGUAUAUUAGAAGCAAGUUUCAAAAUCUGAUUUUGUUUCAGAUUAUUCAUGAAAUAUAGUAGCUUGAAAAUUUUAAUUUGAUUUUGUUUCUGAUUAUUUAAUUAUGGGAAAGAGUAGCACAUAAGUCUUUCUGUACCUAUAAAUACCCCUAUACAUUGCAGGGUUUUGGAUCAUUUAAACACAACCUUCUCUCUUUUAUUACCACAACCCUACCUCUCUCAAAGUUAGUUAUAGACCGUUAUGUAGGAGUCGACAAAUCCAAACACGGGAAAAGAAUAUAGUCUUGACAUGAUAUUGAUGGAUGAUAUCAAUAAAUUAACUAUUAGUGAUGUAUGUCUGUUGGUUAUUCUUUUUUAAUAUUUGUUUUGUUCGUCGGAUAUGUUUAUUUUUGUUAAUUUUUAUAUGAUUUACUUUGUAUGCAGGAAAAAAUUAUUCAUGCAUAAUUUGUUUGCUCCGUUUAAGCAACUUUUCAGUGAAGACUGUUUAUACAGUAUUAAAAAAUAAAAAUUGUUACAAGUAAGGGUAGUUAUAGACGCUAUCUCACGGAUUUAAGUUAGAUGUUUUUGUGCUCAAUCAAUCUAAAAAAAUUGGAGGAAGAUGACAAUGUAAGAACAUGAUUACUAUAAAAAAAACACAAAUAAAAUUAAGAUUCGUCGUGCUUUAAAUUGUUAAUACGAGUAUAAAUUUAUUUUCAAUUUUUCACCAUGAAUUAUAUUCCAAUUUUCCAAUUUUAUAUAUUAGUAUUGAUAUUACAUCAAGAUUUUUAUAAUAUAAAAUUUAUUUUAUCCUACAAAUAUUAAUUUUGAAACAUUAAUAUACAUUUUAUAGACAACCACAAAAUUAUUUUAUUCUAUAAAUAUUAAUAUUAAAUCAUUAAUGUAAUUUUUAUAGGCCGCCGCAACGCGCUAGUUUAUUAGGAAAGAAAAUACACACAAGGUUUUUGGGCUUUGAUACAGGAGGCUUCUUAUUCCCUGCUGUGUUGCCUUGCCAGGCUUUAAAAAGUAGGCUUCAACGGUCGCCACUCUUCAUUUCUUCAGCAUCCGGAUUCUACCUUUCUUCAGACAUCGUCUUGGUAUGUAAUUUCUCUUUGUUUUUCUUGUAUAUAUAUGUUCAUGUGUAUCUAUGUGUAUCUGUUAUUUGAUCAAUUUAUGUUACCAGUUAUACAGAGCAUAUAUAUUGACAUUUCUGUACUUGAUUGCUGAUUUAGAUUUGAAUUUUUUGGUCUAUUAUGUAUUAAGAUUAAUCAAGGGUCUUGAUUAGAAACGUGUGUUUAUAUAUAUAUAUAUAUAUACAUAUAUAUAUAUAUAUAUAUAUAUAUGCCAUCAUUCCAUGGCGAACCAUCUUAUAUAGUGUCCCACUAGUCAUACAUAACAUGGACAAACAAUUUCACACAUACAAUCUAAGUAAAAAAAUUUGGUUUUUAAAAUUGAUUGUAGAACACUUUGGAUAAAUAUGAUUCUAUUGUAGAACCAGUUUGUAUAUUAUGAUUAAUUUUCAAUUUUUUUUGGAGAAUAAAUGAUGAAACUUUAUAUUUUAAUUUACUAAUUGUAUAUUUGAUGAAUUAUGAGAUUAAUACAUGAAUUUUAUGUGUAUAUGUGUUCUCUACUAGANUUUUGCCUCAAUUGGUUUUAGGUCUUUAAUUUCUAUAGGUUAACCUACCAAUUAGCUAAAAUAUAAAGUUGUUUAUUUGAUCAUGAUUUUAAGGAGUUAAUUAAAAUUAUAGCGGUAUUCGAUUAGGAUUGACAACUUUUUGGGUUGUUUGUAUUCAAUUAGGACUCCAAGGGACCGUUUGGAUGGUGGGUGGGAAAGGAAAUCGGAAAUGAGAAUAAGAGGUAUAGGAAUGGGAAUGAUUUGGUAUCCCGAGGAUUGAAGAAGGAAUGAUUUUCCUACUACAACAAAACUGUUAAUCCAAACACGCAUAAUGAUCUAUGGAGUCCUACUUCAAUACAAACCAAAUUAGCCUACAAACUAAAAACCCAAUUUUCAAUCACAAUUUUAACAGCAGAAAUCACUAUGUUGUACAUCACAGAUCACUAUUUUGUAUAUAUCAUAUCUCUCAAAUAUGAAUCUAUACAUACAUAUAUAUGCAACGUAUAUGACCAUCAUCUUCAUCCGAACUGUAAUAAUGGAUCUCUUACCACCAUUACCAGCCGUUUUUAUGACUUGCCACCAUCGCCUACCAUCACCAAUAGUCACAUACACUCUCUAUCACAACUUACCAAAAAUAGCGACUACUUACGACCAUCAUACACCUUCUCUUACCGCUUCUUAUCGUCAAGAACCUUCCUACGAUUGAAAUUGAUCAUCUAUAAUCGAUUACCAAUAGUUUAGGUAAGUAGAUUUUCUCAAUUUUGAAGAAUAAAAAUCGCUGAAUGUAUACUGUAUUAAACAGUGAUUAAUGCCGUAUAAGUUAGUGAUUCUCAUAGUUAUAAAUAGUGGUAGGGAAAUUGGUUUUUAGUUUGUAUAUAAAAGUUGGUUUGUAUUUGAUCACUUGCCUAUAUAUAUGUAUGUAUGUAUGUAUGUAUAGAGUAAUGUGCAUGUUUAUUUGUAGAUAGUUGAAUUUCUUGGAUUUGUUUGGUAAGUAGUUUCUUAUAGAUAUGUGACCAAGACCUGAUAUAAUCCCUACAAUUUUUACAAUUUUACAUUAUCGACCAUAUAUCUUUCUUAGCCCAUCAUUCUCUCGCCUGGUCGUUACUUUUCUCCACAGCUUUCUUUCACCUCUGGGCACCAUAUCUCUCCACUUUACCUUCAUCUUUGAUCACUCAUCCACUUCUACUCCGAUCCAUAAUUUGGUGUAACAUUGUCGCUGAAGAGCUUGGUUCUCACCAUUUCUACCAUUGGCCCCCUUAUAUGCCAUUUCCGUCAUCCAUCUCCUCCGCUUCUAUAAGAUUAUAUAAGAUUUUUUAUAGUUUUAAUGAAAAAGGAUUGAGAUGAAGAUUAAGAUGGCAUAUAAGUAUGAACCUUAUAUGCCAUCUACAUCUCCGUCCCUUUUCUCUCUUCUAACCCCAUGUCCACGUCCUCCACUUUGCGAAGUCUACGUCAAUGACAAAUAUAUAUAGGGUCCAUCUCCGGUCCCAAAACCCACAUCAUUCUACUUAAUCGCAUUGGUUUCUAUUUAGUUUCUGUUCUAAUAAUUUUUAUUGGAGUAGGACCCUAUAUAUAUAUAUAUAUAUAUAUAUAUAUAUAUAUAUAUAUACAUAUAUAUUUUAAAUUUCUCAAAAUUAACGGAAAGAAUGACUAAAUUGAUACUUGGUGCUUUAAAUCAAUCGUUAUUUAUAGGUUCUGUCUAUCAAAAAGUUAUCCUACAAGUGCCAUCNNNNNNNNNNNNNNNNNNNNNNNNNNNNNNNNNNNNNNNNNNNNNNGAGUUUGAAAUUUUAUAUUUUUUCACCCAUAUAACAUGUAUGAGUUUGGAAUGAACAAAAUACAUACUUGAUUCCAGAUCCUCGUGAAGCAAACGAGCCUUUAUUCUUUUAAUGAUUAUAAAUGAUUGUAUAUAUAUAUAUAUAUAUAUAUAUAUAUAUAUAUAUAUAUAUACAUGUCCAAGUUCUAUGAAGUACAAUAAAUAUUGGAGUAUUGCAGUUCAAAAUUGGAUAAGAUAUAAUCUAGCCGUUUUAAUUUAUUUUUUUUGUUCAACAAUAUAUGUAAACAUCCGAAAACCUGCAAAUUAUGUUCUGCAACAAAAUUGUUGUAAUCAAAAGUAGAACAAUUACUUUUACAAAUCGCUGAACAUUAUGUUCUACAAUAGAACUCAUAAGCAGAACAAUGAUUGUCUUGUUUUGACUAAAUCCAACAACAUCUUAAUAUAUAUCCUUAUUAUCAAUGAGUGCCCAUAUUCUUUUUUUGAGUGAGAAUAUUGUUUCCUUCUUUUAGUUCAAUAGGUUUGGAGUGGAUAUUUGCUUUGUGUCAAAAGUUUUUUGUUGUUGACCGCCUUGCUGCAAAUGUGUUUGAUGCUUUUGGUCUGUUUUACUUUGGCUUUGUAUACUAUUUAAAGCUUAAAGAACUAACAAAUUAUCUUUAGUUUGAUUUUGAUAUAAUUGUAUAAAAUCCAUAUAUUAUAUGCUAAUCAAGGUUAUCACGGCGCCAAGUCGAGCCUCGGCGCCCAGAUACUGUGGAAUUAGGGUUAAAAAUGGGGCGGGUUCGGGGCGGAGACUUCAUUUCCCAGCCCCGCCCCAUAUAUAUUUUUUUUGCCCCAUCCCCGCCCCAUUCCCCGCAGGGAUUUAUUUUCAAUCCCCAUCCCCGCCCCACGGGAGAUUUAAUAUAACUUCGCCCCGUCCCGCUGCUAUAUGUAAUAUUACAUUUUAGAUAUUUGCUUAAAAAUUUAGUAUUUUUUUCUUCGAAAUUUAAUAAAAAUAUAAGAGACGUGUAUAUUAAAAGCAAAAUACUAGAUAAUGCAUGCAUGUCAAAUUAAAAUAACAAUAUAAUCAUGCAAUAUAAUUAUAUUAAAUAUAAUUAUUUAUAAUUAUAUUAAAUAUAUUAUAAUAAUACAAUAUAAAUAUAUUAUAUUAAAAAUAAUAAAUAUAUUAUAUUAAAUAUAAUUAUUUCUUUAAAUUAAAAUAUGCGGAGUGGGGCGGGGAAUCCCCGCGGGGAUUCAACAAAUACCAUAUUAGCGGGGCGGAUCUCCCCCAUUUGGGGCGGGUUAGGGCAGGUUCCCCAUUUUCCCCGCCCUAUUUUUAACCCUACUUGGAAUCGACUAGUCGACAAGUCGCCCGACUAGUCGUAAAAAGUCGACAAGUCAUUCAUAUACAUAUUUUUACUAGAUUUAAUAAAUGAAAUAUAGUUGAACACACAUCAGUUUAUAGUUUGAAUCAAAAGUAAAAGAUAAUAAGCAACAAUGAGAAGUAUAGGACGUAGCAGAUUGUUAGUUCACAUGUAAAAUGAAGCCCGAAAGGAGUAAUAGGAAGGAAAUAAUAAUAUGAAGUUAAAAUGAUACAAAGAUCAAGGAUACACUGAUAUGUUGAAAAUAAAACAAAGAUUACAUGAUGCUAAUAUUACUGACAUAUUACUGACCGGCUAAGAUUUUGUUUGUUUGGGCUUUAAGCCGUAGACUUAAAGUAAUUUUCAGACUUUGAUUCAAAAUUGUGUGUUUUUGUAGUAAAAGUGAGUUAAAGUUGAAAAAGGAGAUUAUAGUCAAAAUUUGGGACGAGGUACUUUUUUGUAGGGCUGAGUAAAACCGGACCGAAACCGAAUCGAAUUGUACAAUUUUGGUUAGGUUUGGUAUGAUUUUUAUUGAAAUUUUCGGUUAUUUCGGUUUUCAAUUAUUAACCGAAUAAUAAUUCGGCUCGUUUAUUCUGAACAUAAAUUCAGUUUUAACCGAAUGAACCGAAUUAAGUAUAUGUAUUAGUUUUUAAUUAUAAAAAUGUGUUAAUAUUCAAUUUAAUUAAUAAUUAGUAACGUAUUACAUGGAGAUGCUUACUCGGUAGACUACCAAGCUCCAUAUAAACUCAUCAGUUAAUACAAUAUCAAAGAUUCAAUGAGCCCAAGUCCAUGACCUUGAUCGUGAAUUACUAAUGAUGUUUAACACAUUUAACGAGUAAUUCUAGUUCACAUAUUAAUACACCAGUUGAUAUAGCAUUACACCGGUAAGGAGUCUGGUAUUGUUUUUGUAUAAUAAUACUCGUGCAUUAUAUAUUUGUAAGUCUACUACUUUCUUGUCUGCAUUUUUUUUCCAAAAAAAGUCUGGCUUAUAGUAAUUGAACUUUGGUUCGGUUUGAAUGCUAAUUCGGUUUGGUUUAAUAAAUAAACUAUAUUUCGGUUACUUCGGUUCAUUUUGGUUACUUCGGUCCGAACCAAAUCGACCGAAUGCUCAAGCCUACUUUUUUGAACAACUUAUUUUGUUUUUAUAAUUUUAUUUGAUACAAGUUAAUAUCAUCAUUCAUAUGUACAACUUAUAAAUUUAAUUUACGAAGGCAUAAGUUACAAGUAACAAUAGAGUUACCCAGAUAGCUAGAAAGCAGGGAUACUUCAUCUGGGUGAAGAACUGCGUAGGGGAUACUUGGGGGUGCGGGGGUGCGGCAGGAUACGCACGGGAUACGCCACGUGGCGUAUCGGUGGAGGCAGUGAUGGAGAUACGCGGGGGUGCGGGGAUGGGGGUGCGAGAGUGGCACAAAUCGUAAUUUUUUACAACUUUUUUUUAAAAAAAUAAUUUAAAAUUAGUUGGUCAAAAUCAUGGAAGCCAUGAUUAUGCUCGAUUAAAUCACUUAAAUUGCAAUAUUUAUUUAUGUAUUUUAAUUGUAAGACUUAAGGAUGAUUAAUUUAGUUAUUCAACUAUUUUGUUCUACUUAAAUGCAUCUUAUGUAUUAUUUUUCUAUCUAUAUAAUAUAUUUAAUAUUUUAAUAUUUGCCGUAUGCCCCCGCACCCGUAUCCCCAUAUUUUGGAAUUUGACGAAUUCACGUAUCCACGUACCACGCACCCGCACUCCCGCACCCGCACUCAUGCUUCCUAGCCAGAUAGAUACUAACCUGAAACUUUAAGCUUUUACUUUUUAUAUAUAGUAACUAUAAGUUACAAGUCAAUUUUUUAAACUUACCCAAAUGGCCUCUAUCAUUCCACCAAUUUACGUUUGGGUUGGGUACGGGGUUAAGAAAAGUUUAUAAAGUAGUAGGACAUAGUAAGGAAAAUGGGUAAUGUGGUGGGACCGAUCAAUAUUUAAUUGAUAGAUUUUGAAAGUUGUAUGUAAGUACCGGGUGAGAUUGAAUUUUAUAUUAUAAAAGUAAACUAUUCUUAGUAAGUUUUGAAUCAUAAAAAAUUGAGAGGGACAUCCAGAGAAGGAAAGUGUAAAGAAUUGAUUGAGAUAGAGGGAGUAGUAUAUUCAGAUUAGAAUUCGAAGUUAUCAUUAUAUAUAAGGUUGGUUCUAUUUUCGUUCGGAAUUUACUUGCCUUCAAGUAAUAGGAUUAUUUGUAUAAACUUUUGCAAUGCUCAUUAUUAAUAUUGGGUGGGUAAAUAUGUUUGUUGACCCUUAUCUACAUCAUGUAUCGUGUCCAUCAUCUUUCUUUUAGCUUAUUCCACUUUAGUAUUACAUAUCUUUAUCCCUUGUCUAUUGUAGACUUCUCUUUAAAAGGUAUCUCUAAACCCUAAUUCUUCAGUUUUUUAUGUUUUUGUUUGCCUAAUGUAGUAGUUUAUUAUAGUUUUAUUAUAUACAUGGUACUUCAUCGGGCAAGUGUGUUGUGUGAUUUGACGGUUCUUAUAAUUAAUCAUAUGUACACAUUUUUUUUUACUUUAAAACCUCGUUUGUUUGUUUAUGUACUAGUAAAGUUAGAAUAUUACAUGAGACAUAUUCUUAGUACUGUCACACAUAAUCACGUUGUGAAUUGCUGCUAUUUGCAUAAGUCCUAUAUAAGAGCAUAAAGGUUUAAAGCAAAAACUCUAAUGGAAUUUUAACUUGCCUGGAAUAUACAUAUAUCAGUGGAAUCUAAUAUCCAGUAAAGCCUAAAGAAAUACUGUGAAGUUGGUCUAAUUUAAUCUGCUCAACUCUGAAUUUGUUGGAUUUUCUGUAUUAUAUAUAUAUAUGUGUGUGUGUGUGUGUGUGUGUGGGAAGUUAGGGGCGGUUUCUUAGAUUUCACCUGAUGAUCUUCUUUCGCUUAUGCCGUUGUAUUUGGAACGUGAUCAGGUGGUUCAAUAAGUCAGUGAGUGGAGAGUUUAAGCCUGUUUUUAAUGUUGUUUUGAGUUGAGUGUGAAGGAAGUAUACUCGGUUUCUUUGUAACACAUUAGUUAUUGAAAGAAGGUUUCAUUCCUAGCUCCUUUGAAGCUGAAGACUUAUUUAUAUCUGUCAUUGGCAAAGUACAGAUUUAAGUGAUAAAAUCCAAGGGUGACAACGAAGGAGUUUUUCAAGCCUUUCCAGGUAUGGAUAGGAAGGAUGACAAUAGUUCUUGCUCAAUGAAUUUCGCUAGUACAUCCCAACAUUCAGUUUUGGGCAAUAUGUACAAGAAUUCUACACCAACUAGUUCGUUCCAGCUAAGGAAACAUCCAAUAGAUGCUAAUACCGUAUUCGCUUCCCGAACAUCUGUGAAAGCAAAUCGUAGCAGCUCUCUUUUGGUCACUAGUUCCGAAACAUCUUCAUUUGCUGCCAAUAAAGCAGAGGAUGUUGAUAAUAAAACUGCUAGAAAUCCUAUAAAUCUUCCUACUAAAUGCACAAGAGGGACAACAACUAGUGGACGUUAUCACGGUGAAGAAAUUAGUUUGGUAGUAGACUUGAGAUGCGCUGUGGUCAGAGACGUAGAUGACUACCUUGUAAAUGAGAGCUAUUCAUCAUCAAAAUCAAAUAUAGAACAAUGUGCGCCUACCAUGAAGACUGAAGCAGAUGACGCUGAUGAGUGCUCAUCAUCUGAAGCAUUUAUUAAGAAUUCCUUGUGUGACGAUAUAUCUGAAAAGGAUAUACGCAAUUUUGUUAGUAGAAGCUUGGGGCUACAUAGAGAAGCUUGUUGUAUUCGGACUAGUGUUUAUCCUAAAGUUUCAGGUUUCAAUAGCGAGUUCAGUUGUAUGCGGACAUGCAUAGUCUGUGAUCAUCCAGAAAUAACACUUAAGAUGCUAAUUUGUGAUCAAUGCGAAGAGGCAUAUCACAUCACUUGCUGUCACCCCCCACGGAGAAAGUUACCUCGGAACGAGUGGUUUUGUCACUCGUGUUUAAAAAAAAAGCAUAAAAUACCAAAGAAGUUGACUGCCAAAGGACCAGUGAAUUAUAGCAGUGAGAUACGCAGAGGUAGAAGUGCAAUUUCCAAAGGUACCUUGGGUCCUAUAGCAGCUAUGCUGGAGGACGCCGAACCUUACACCACCAAUGUACGUAUCGGCCUGGAAUUUCAAGCAGAGGUUCCUGACUGGUCUGGUCCACUUGCCAAGUAUGUUUUGUCAAUAGCUUCCAAUUUUAUUUGAUUUAGGAUGUUUUGCUGAACUAUAACUUGAUAAGCAGUGAAAUUAUCUUGCAAAUGUUGACAGUUGUGUAAUUUGCAGUUGUAUAGGUGGUGAUCACAUGUUUUUAUAGUUAUGAGCCAUUUGUAUGUCUGAAUGGUCAUACAUCUGUUGUAUCAUCUGCUAUGUAUAAUGUUUUAGGUAAAUAGUGUAGUAUAUCUGUAUAUGUACCCUACAUCCAAGUCCUUGAUCGAUUUCAAAUUACUGUUCGGAUACUUUAUAUCUAUAGUUCUGCCGACACUCUGUUUGCUGCUUCCUGCUAGUACAUGUUUAACUACUUCAAAAUUGCCUUAUAUCCUUUCUGCUCAUAAGAUUUAUUCCUAUAAACUACUACUUGUAUAUAGAUGUGCUAGUGUUUUAAUCUUCAUUUCUUUAGCAUUUGCAAAAAGAGUUUGCUGUAUGCUCAAUUUACUUUAUGCACAUAAUGCAUGCACGGAAAUUGACUGUGCAGAUCUUACUUUUAUUAUAUCUCUAAUUAAAAGUCUCUCCCAUGUUAUUCAGUGAGGUUGAUAAUUUUAAUGAACCACUGGAAUUGAGUCUCGCUGAUAGCUUUCAGGUCAGCAAUUUUCAUAUACAGUAUAAAUGACUCUUUUUACUUUAUGCAGCUUACAGAGUAAUCUGAGAAGUAAUAAGGAUAACUCCUGUUUUACAUUUGUUAGGAAGGAAAUUCAAGGAAGCCUUCUAAAGUCAGUUCCAUCUCUAAUUGGCUUCAGUGCCAAGAUAUCAUUUGUGGUAUUAGGGAGGGUGUUGAUGGAGUUGUUUGUGGGAAAUGGCGCAGGUAUACAAUCUCUUCUCUUUGCCAAUAUGGAAUGUAGCAAUAAUUUAUAGGAUAGCUAAGACUUCAUCUUUCACUUAAAUAGAACUUAUCUUAACCUUAUAUAUGCCUAAUAUACAUAAUUAGGGAAAAUUGUAGUAUACAUUUACUUGCUAGUAUCAGGGGAAAAAAAUUCAAGCAUAUAAUUGAAACAGAAGAGGGUGUAUAAGUUUUAUAAAUAGUUCUCUUCCCUUUGCUAGAAGUUUCCUCACUCCUUUUUUUUGCCAAUAUUGCAUUGUUUCCAAACCAGAUGCAAGCUAAAUAUCGAAGUUUCUAUAGAACGAGUGCUUUGGACUAUCUGUCUUAUAGAACUUUCAUAUGAAUAGGGAUCACUGUUCAUGGAUGUGAAAGAGGUUCUAUGCAAGUUCUUUCGGCAUAAAAUUUUUUUAGUCAAUAUAUUUUAGUUUUUGCGGUGAACUGGAGAGAAUAGGUUGUCGUGAGAGCUUAACAUUGGCCAUCCUAGAAAAUAUUUGGAAUAAAUUGGCCUUAAGUGUAGCACGGGGCAUAAUAGCUCCGUUUUUAUAAAAAUUGAUUAGUUUAGAGGCCUCUAGCCCAAAGUUUUGUGUUUGACCAAGUCUCGACAACAUGGUUGUAUAUUUAAAAGAGAUUAGUACUCAUUGCUUCUCUCAUGUUGUAUGAUCUAUUAAUAAUAGUUGGACCACUGAAUCCCCUUCGACUUGAAUGCACUAGAUGAAUGAAGUAGAUCUUUUUGGAUCUCAAUGACCAUGCAGGGAUAUUGAACCCAUGAAGAAAUUGGUGGAUGAAUUCAUUAAUGUGGUUCAGCUUCUAGAAUAAUUCUAAAAUCAUAUGUGAUGCCUCUUGAAAGUAAUUAUUGUUGUAUGACAGGGCACCUCUUUUUGAAGUUCAAAGUAAGAACUGGGAGUGUUUUCACUCUGUGCUCUGGGAUCCAGCUCAUGCUGAUUGUGCGGUGCCACAGGUACUAUUCGGUAAUUUUGUAUAGCAUGGCAUGUUUUGGAGUAAAGUCAUUAAACUAUAUUCAACUGUUUAUUCGCUAUGAAAUGAUACAUUAGAGUCGAAGAUUACCUUUCUAGAGUGUUAAUUGAUUCAGGAGAAACAAAUGUUAUUAGAGGUUUAAGUUUUUAGUAGUUCUAUCACUUUGAAGGGUGUUUACUGUUUAGUAUAUAGUGAGAGGUGAGUUGCUCUUGUUUAUAAGAGGAUUUCCUUGUUUUAAUUUUUAACUAAAAGAGGUCUUAACUACCUUUGCUUUUAUAACUUCUUAUUAAAAUAGUAGAAGCUCUAAGAAAAUGGAUGAUCCCUUGGAUAUAUAAAGUAAUGUUAAAAGAUUAUGAAAUACAAUAAAUUAAGACAAUCACACAAGGCGAAUAUUUAAACAUAGUCAGUCUAGCCACACUCCACCAGCUGGGCAUUUAUCUAUUAUUUCUGAUCUUAGGGUGUUACAGUUACAACAAAUUAUAUUUAGUAGAUAAAACUGGGCUAAACUUCUGCAGACUUGGGCCUAAAUUGCAGUUUUACUUAUAAGAGGAUUGCCAACAUAUGACCUUUCAAAGGAUCUUGGAUUUGGUAUAUAGUAUGGAGUGAAAAUUAUACUGUUUCCUAGUUAUAUAAGAAUAAUUUUCAUUUGCACUUAAUCCUGCAAAAGGGGUAUUAUUCGGGGGAAGUCCAUUCGUACAAAUUUAAGCUAAAGCUUGAUCCCAUAUAUAUAUAUAUAUAUAUAUAUAUAUAUAUAUAUAUAUAUAUAUCACUAAAAUCCUAAAGUAAACACCACUAAUUUCUCUAACAACCCCAUCUCCACCUCCAUCUUCACCAACCCCGCCAUCGCCUCCGCCUCCAUCUCCACCUCCGUUGUCACCUCCGUCAUCACCACCUCCAUGCCGCCUGCCCCCUCAUCUCCACCUAAUGCUAUGCGACCAAGUGGGGCUAAGUUUUGGCUCCUAAUGCUGUCUGGAGCCUGUCCAGGGCCUGUGCGGAGCCUUGGUGAGAGGCUCUAGAAAGCUCGAGGUGGAUUGAGUGGGGGCGAGUGUGCGCCUUAGGUGGGUGAUGACAUAUAGGGAAUGGGCGAUGUCGUUUAAGUAUAGUUUCUCUUGGUUUGUAUUUUAGUUUUUAUUUGAACAAUUGCCUAUAUAUAUAUAUAGGCUCAUGAUCAAAUAGAAACCACUUUUAAAAUAAAAACUAGAAACCAAUACAAGUUAGUGAUAUCUUCAGUACAAUUUAGUGAUAUUCUCUUUACGAUUUAGUGAUAUGUGUUGCACGAAUUAGUGAAAACUUGCGGAAACUGCCCAGAAUUUCUGAAUCUGUUCUAGUUGCCGAUUCAGGUGGUGGUUGCGGUGGUGGAGAUAAUGGAGGUGAAGGUGGAGAUGGAGGUGGUGGACAUGGAAGGAGCCUUUAGCUUUGUCCGGCAGAUUUUUGGCAAAGAUCUGAAAUUUAAAUCGGCAUUAAGCUAGAUAUACGGUACUGUAGGUGAGGAAGACCGAGGUGGAGGUGAGGAUGAAGGUGCAGGUGGAGGUGGAGGUGGGGGUGGAAUGGAAGGGGCGGUGGAGGCCGGAGGGGGGUUGGAUUUGGUGGUGAUAUAAAUAAUGGAGGCCGACAUGGAGGUGGUGGCUAUGGAGGGUCGGGCGGCAUGGAGGUGGAGAGAGUAGCAGAGACUUGGCGGGGGUGGUAGGGUGAAGCUGCCGGAAGUGGGGUGGAGGGUUGGUGGGUUGGAGAAGAAGAAGGAGAAAGUGGGGUUGUUUGAGAAUUUAGUGAUAUUCUCUUAGAAAUUUAGUGAUAGUUUCUAGUUUCUAGAAUAAGGAGGUUUCUAUUGGAGUAAAACUCUAGAAUAAGGAGGUUUCUAUUGGAGUAAAACUCUAUAUAUAUAUAUAUAUCCACCACAUAUCCUUAAGAUAAAAACUACAAACCAAAUAUCCACCGCAUAUUUCUUAUCCACCGCAUAAUUUUUUAUCCAGUAUUCCACCCGCCAAUUCUCUUUCUCUCGCCCCGUAUACAAACACACAUGUAUGUAUAUAUCAUCCCCACCUCUCUUCUUUCAUUAUCUCUAUAUCUUUCUCUUUCCAAGCUCAACUACUACUCAUCAUCACCCGCGACCUUCCAUCAUACCUUCCUUUCCUUGCCAUAGUCGCUCGUCCUCCACCAUUAACACCCCGUCAUCAUCGACCCUUUCCCCUCUCCUCCUCUGAUAUUUUUCUAAUGACCUCUCAUUCCAUCUUUACAUUAUCAUUACCACCACUUUCUUAUACUUGAUUGUUUUCUUCAUUUGUGGCCAUGUCAUGAAUUUUACGCCAUUAGUGCUAUGAUUGUUAUUUCAUAUAGUGGAUAACUAGUCAGCAAAGUUGCUUAUUUAAUUACAGAAAUCAGUGGUUACUACUAUAUAAGUUAGUAUUUUUGCUUCACAUUUUGGUGAUAAGUGCUAUUAAAAUUUGUGAUUUCUUUUUAAAAGUUAGUGAUUUAUCUAUUUGAAGUUGUAGUGAUGAUCGAAGAAGAGAGUUUGGGGAUAAUGUUAUGUGGUGUUGUUGAUGAUCAGAAUUAGAUCGAAGAUAUUAAUGAUCGAGUUGUUGCGUUGAUUGAGGGUGUAUAUAAAAAUAUGAUUGUGUAUAUAUAUGUAAAUGGGUUACUGGGUUAGUUUUUUGGAUGACGGGAGAUGAAAACUACUGAUGAUCACAUGUGAUGGAUUGAGAAAGUGAUCAGUGAUGGAUGAAAUGAAGAUGGUGAUGAUGGUAUAUUAGAUAUGUAUACAUGCGCUUAUUAGAAUAAAAGGACCGAGAUAAUCACUAAAUUUAAAUAUAAUAAUCAUCAGUUUGUAGUUUGUAGGAUAAACUGGUUUGUUUUGGAGUAAGACUAUAUAUAUAGUGCCGCGCCUAGGAGAGAACCAAUGCUUAAAAUAGAACCAUAGAAUCACUAAGGUUCUGCUGCAGAACCCUGUUUUUUACAUAGAUUUUCAGGAUCUAAAUGUAAAUACAUGUUUUUUUUUGCAUCGUUGUGUGUGUUCGAAAGUAAUUUCAAAAUACAAUACAUAAAUAAGACAUUUUUUUUCAUGUGUAGUUCUGUUGCAUAACCCUAACUAAUACUAGAAAUAAGCUAAUGGUUUUAAGGUCUUAAUGACUAAUGGUUCAAUGUGGAACAUGACUCACACACACACACACACACACACACACACACACACACACACACACACACACANNNNNNNNNNNNNNNNNNNNNNNNNNNNNNNNNNNNNNNNNNNNNNNNNNNNNNNNNNNNNNNNNNNNNNNNNNNNNNNNNNNNNNNNNNNNNNNNNNNNNNNNNNNNNNNNNNNNNNNNNNNNNNNNNNNNNNNNNNNNNNNNNNNNNNNNNNNNNNNNNNNNNNNNNNNNNNNNNNNNNNNNNNNNNNNNNNNNNNNNNNNNNNNNNNNNNNNNNNNNNNNNNNNNNNNNNNNNNNNNNNNNNNNNNNNNNNNNNNNNNNNNNNNNNNNNNNNNNNNNNNNNNNNNNNNNNNNNNNNNNNNNNNNNNNNNNNNNNNNNNNNACUAAUUGUCUGAUUAAUUUUAUCUAAUUAAUUGGUAGACAUGUACAAAUUAUGUCGUUUUUUCUAUAAAAAUUGUCGAACAGUAAAUAUAAGGAGAAUAAUUACUGUGGUUCCUUGUCAAAUAGGGCAUUGAAGUAAAGCUUUGUCGUUCUAGAAGUCAAACAGAACAAUUCGUCCUCAUGAGGUCAAAGAUUCCUAUACCUACUGGUUCGGGCAGACCUUAGGUUUCUAUUUCCAAUAUGAUAAGACAGUGACAAUAUAGGGAUUAUUCCUCAGUCCGGUUACACACGUAUUUUGAAAUAUCGGUUUGGCUAGUGUGUGCCCAUGGGCACAUGCUAAGCGCGGAAAUUUUUGUAUUUGGGAGAUUUUGAUUGGUGUGGUUGGUGUAUUUGCAGGGGGGUCCACCAUUAUCAUGAGAUAGGAGCCAAUCAAAAUGAUCCAAGCACAAAAUUUUCCGCGCUUAGCAUGUGCCCAUGGGCACACCAUAGAAAAACCGAUAUUAUAUUAUAAUACAAUAUAAUAUAAAAUAUAUAAUAUAGUUAAGCAUGAAUCGGAUCGGAUCGGAUCGUUAACAGAUCGGAUUUGACCAUAUCCAUAUCCAUUCUUUAUCGGAUCGGAUUAUUAUCGGAUCGGAUUAUUAGCAGAUCGGAUUUUUUAAAUAAGGAUCCAUAUCCAUUUAUUUAACCACGGAUCGGAUCGGGUCGGAUCGGAUAUCCGAUCCAUUUACAGGCCUAGGUACAUGUUAAAUUUUGCCAUCCCAACCCUUACCCCUACCUUUAAACCCACUUUCGUGGUGUUUUCUUUUAUAUCCGAUGCACUUUUAAAUUCUUAAACGUUUGUCACUUUAUAAAAAUAUGAUUAAUUCAUACUCUCAUAAGCUUUCUUUUUCAUUACUUAAACACCAUUUUUUUGUCCACGUCAGGAGGUGGAUACAGAUCGAGUUCUCAAAGAUUUGAAGUAUUUAGAAAUGGUAUGUAUUUCUGUCAUUUACUAACAUCAUGUGCAUCUGAAAGCCAUAGUUUUACAAGUUAUUUAAUACUCCUUCCGUCCCGGUGAGUAGUAUACAUAUGGGGAGUGGCACGGAGGUUAAGAAAAAGUAUAAUUUAGUGAUGAAAAGUUAGAAAAGUGGGUGAAGUGGUGGGGCCGAUUAAAAUUUAAUGUGUAAAAGAAGUGUAGUUUAAGUAAAAUGGUGGAACCUACUAAUAUUUAAGGUAUAAAGUGGCUGUAGUGGAAGAAAGUAGUGGGUGUAGUUAAGUUUUUAUAUCAUAAAAACUUACUAUUUUUGGCAUGUAUACAAUUGAUGGGACGUCCCAAAAAAGAAACUGUAUACAAUUCAAUGGGACAGAGGGAGUAUAAGCUUUUAUUAGUAAUUAUAUAUGACAAUAUUACAAAAACAUUACAUAUUUUCACAAGGCCAUUUCCUACGAGACCUUUGUUUUGGUCAUUAUUCGCUUAAUAUGAUACUGACUUUUACUAUAAUGCAAUGUAGUUGAAGCCUCGGCUUGCUGCUAAAAAGCGUAAAUUGGAUUGUAAAUACAUGAACUCCGAUGACCCUGACGAGGAUGAGUGAGAAAACACUUAACUUAUUAUUUAAUUGUUUGGUGUUUUUUAAUUGAAAUAUUAUGUUAUCCAUUUCCGUUUUACUAUAGGAAUAAAAUAACAUCGAAUACUACUCAUUGUAAAUUGUUAGACCUAACAUGGUCUAUUUUUGGGGAUCGUUGAAAUUAUCCGUGACACGAAUACAAGAAACAAUUGUUAAUUAUUGUGUGAUGAAUCUUUCAAUUUGCAUUGGUUGCAAUAUUAGUAUUGUUCAAUCACGAAGCUCUGCAUAAAAUAACUCCUCUAGAUUUGAACGAAUAUCUCGGGUAUUAAGAGAUGAUUGGAAACAAUGUGAUUUCAUGUUGGUGUGGGAACAUUUGGGUGGGUCCAAGCCAUAUAUGAGUGUGCAUAAUACUUGAUGGGGACAUUAGUUGAUUGAAUGCAUAAGGAAACAUCAUCAAGGCAGAUGAAAAACUAGGUGACAUCUAUGUUCGUAAAUUAACAGUGGAUGAGUUGGGACGAGAAGAUUGUAAAACAAACCUGGUAAAUAUAUCAGGGGGAAAAGCUUAUUAGAGGUACAGGCGAAAAAAACAAAUCAUCCUUGUAAAGUAAUUUUUGUACUGAGCUGGAUGUAGUCAAUAUAGAAACAUGCCAUGAGCAUAUUCACAUAUAUCAGCACACCUGAAAUCACAUGUACGAAAGCUAUGACAAUAUAAACAAUUAUAAUGGAACUUUCCUGGAUCCCGUUGUUGAGCACUCUCUCGAAUGAACACUCAAUCUAAUCAUGCGAGUGAGUCAUUGAGCUAGGCCUAACCUUGAAUGAGAAUAUCAGGACCCGUCUGUUGAAUAUUUGGCAUUCUUAAUGUUUGGAAGAGGGGAUAGUGGAUACAAAUCGGAAGCAAACAAUGAAAUUAUCUAAUGAAGAAGAAAGGCUUGGUGAAUAGUUUGAAGAAGAAAUAGAUUAUAAGGCAUAAUGUAAUGUAAAAUGUAAUAGUGAUAACUCAACACUGUAACAAGACAAGAAAUAAUAAAUACGUCUUAUACAAGAAUCGACAGAAUGACGAAAAAGUACAUACAAAAUUAGACAAUUAAGUAAACUAAAGCAUUUACAGAAUCACUAAAAGAAGUUCAUUAAUAUGUUCAAGUCUUGGUGAAAAACUCAAGUUGUUUUGAGGAUUAGAAGUUGUUUAUCGAAGCCAGUAUGAAGUGCCAGCGGAAUCUAGUAUUGUCAAGUUGAUCAUUCAUAAUCAAAACCUGAAGCAUGUCUAAUCCGAAAUGGACUACUCAAUGUUAGCUAACAAAGACGGUACGAAGUUCGAUUUCAGUUUUAGUUGUUUGUGAACCAGACCAGUGCAUUAAACAUCAACACGUACGAAGUUAUUCAUCGUAUUUAUCAAUCAAAGAAUUGAUCAAGUCAACAAUUUAGUAGUUUCAGAGUCAAGUAAAGCCUAAUAUUUUGUUCCCACGAGGCAACUACUUUCAAACAAAGUUAAAUUAGAAAGCGGCGCCAAAGAUUCAACACUAUACAUACAUAUACACUUAUAUGUGGAACCAGGUCUCUAGUAUUAGUAAUUAUCCCAAGUAUAGGCACUUGACACCUUCAAUACAUAUGUAUAUGUGUAGAGGCCCUAGUUGAAGCAAAAUAUGCCAAGUAAAUAUUGUGAUGCCUCAUGGUGUGCUAUGUGAACUAAGGUGGCGCCAACUUCAUAGAGUAUAUACAUGUGAUAACUUGACGCCAACUACUCAAGACUUGAAGAUUUCUCUAAGUAAAAGAGUUGGCGCCUCCACCAACGAAAGUAGGAGACAACUGAUGCAUACUAGCACAUAGAGGGACAAGAAGGCGCUGGGUGAAGAUAGAAGAAACUUUACUAUGCAAUUGAGAUUGAAGAAAGUAAAUCAACAAAUAAUGACCAUUCGACAUUCGUUGAUAGACUAAAAGAAUGGGUAGAUUGAUAAAAAAUGUUAAUAACAAAUAUAUAUAUAUAUAUAUAUAUAUAUAUAUAUAUAUAUAUAUAUAUAUAUAUAUAUAUAUAUAUAUAUAUAUAUAACAAAUGUUUAUAUAUAUAAACAUUUACACUUUUUCAAUGCAUGUCUAUAUUUGUAUUUUUAUGUGUAUAAAAACAAUAUAGGGCGUUUAAACAACAAGAGAAAAGGUCCGCAAUAUCACAAAUUUAAAGUCAAAUAUCCUGAAUAUCACAUUCUGAAAAAAUGAUCCCAAAUAUCGUAUCAAAAUUUUAUCUUAUAUAACGUUUUCAAUUAUUAUACUACACGGGAGUUCGUGUAGCAUUCUCGGGAAAUGAAUUGUGAUGUGUUGAGGCACUACAUGAUGUUUUUUAUAUUUUCCAAUAAAACUGAAUUCUGAAAUAUUAGAAAGGUUAAAGACGUUAGGACUAGACUUACUGAGUAGAUACCAAAACGUGACAUGAUGUAAUGUUGUGAAGUAAUAUUUCGGGUCAUUUUUCCGGAACAUGAUAUUUUGGGAAGUAUUCCUUAAAAUUGUGACAUAUGAGCCAACACCUAAACAAAAAAGUCACGGAGCCACUUACUUGCACAAUGUACACAUGCAAAUGUACACAUGCAAAUAUAUAUAGUCAUUUACUAUUAAAACUUGCCAUCAGAGCUGUUUAAAUCACAUUGAGAUUGACGGGAAAAUUCUUCAUCUGAAUUAAUCCCUUCAUCUGAUUAAACCUCUACCUUUAUUGGAAAAGAUUGUUCCUCGAUCAAAAUAAGUAAAGAAAUCAAUCAUAAAAUAAAGUAUAACAAUAAAUAUUAUAAAAUUAAAACAAAUAAAACAAAGUUGGAUAAACAAUAAAAAUCUAAAAAAUCAAGCCAUGCAAAUUUAGAUCUUUCGAGUUCGGGGGUGUUUGUUGGAAUAUCUUUUCACUUGUUAAUAAAUCUUCUCGUAAACUCAAUGCGAUAUUUAUAUCGAUAUUAUAAUUAGUACCCAUGAUUUUUCUACAUCUCUGAUGUUCUGGGUGUCUUUGUAAACUAGAAAUACAUGUAUAUAUAAUCCUGUAUGCAGGGUAGAGAUGUACAAAAGUUCUGUUCGGGCCAGAUCUAAACCGGGCAAAAAAAAAACUCGGAUUUUUUCCAUAACAGACCGGGCCGGGGUUUUUAAAAAAUCGGGUUGGGGCGGGCUUUUUCGAAAAUACUAGGCCUGGUUUACUUAUAAAAAACUGGAUUUUUCAAAAAUUCGGAUAAAAUCUAGAUUUUUUGAAAAUACUAGGCCUGUUUUAGGCCCUCGGACUGGGUCGGGCAAGAUCAGAUUUUUUCCCGGAUCGGGUUUUCAGAUUUUUUUUCAGAUCGGAUUUCAGAUUUCACAUAUUUUGACAUCUCUAAUGCAUGGAAGCAAUGGAGGGAGAUUAUUGAGGAGAGAUUGAAAAAUCUAAAGGGAAACUAAAUUUACAAGGACAUUGAAAAUUUUAGAAUAAAAUGAAUACAGUGGAAAACUCAAAAUGAAGAUGUGAGGUUCUAUUUUUAAAAUGUGACGUGAAGUUACGCUAACCACGAUAAUUAUAUACGGGGUGGUAUUCAUUUUAUACUGAUAAUCAAGAGAGAGAAUGUGGUUAGCGUAAAAAAAGAAACGGUGUUUGUAUGAUGGGCUCAUGAGCACAUAAUAAACGUACUUUUUAUGAGUUUGGUGUUUUUUAUUGGUAAUUUAAUAUUCAAAAUAGAUGGACCCCUAUAUUUAUAUCAAUUCAACCAAUAAAAAUCUAUUAAAUUCUUUAUAUUUAGUGUUUAUUGUGUUUUGUGUGCCGACACACAUUCAGAAAGAGCGAAAAAAAAAAAAGAGUAAAGAUAAUAAUACUCCCCCGUCUCAAUUUAUAGGUUUUUUUUGGAAAAAAAUUUGUCCCAAAAUAUUUGUCCUUCUCUUUUUUCAAUACAAAUUUAUCUACAUAUUAAUUGUGAUUUUUUUGAAACUCAACAUUAUUCUCAUUUCUCAAUGCACUUAUAUUUAUUGUGAUUUUUUUGAAACUCAACUAUAUUCUCACUGUCAAUGCAUUAAUGAUAUAUAAGAAUAUAAGAUAAGAUUCUAUCUAAUCAACUUUUUUCUUAAUAUACGUGUUUAUUUCAAAAUGGACCUAUAAAUUGAGACGGAGGGAGUAUAAUAAUAACACUCUUUAAUUCCGAUGAAAAAUCUUAAACGUCAUAUAAAAAGCCUAGAGAAUAAUUUAACUAAAAAUAAAUCUACUUAUAUAUAUAGUAGCCCAACACGUUCGUGUCAAGCCUCCCUCCUGAGCAAAUAAAUUACCUAGCUCCGAACCUGAGCCUAACUCCGAACCUAACCCCUCCUCAUACAUAUAAAAAAAAUGUUAUUAUUGGGACUCGAACCCAAGCCCUCUUGAUUACAACUACACCACUGAAACCACUUGAGCUACACAUGCAAUUAAUUUUUUUAUUCAAAAGCAUUAAACUCAUACAUUAAAACUGUUGUAUUUAUAUUUUUUUCCAAUAUCUUAUCUAUUUGAGAUAAGUUAUUAGUUUAGGUAAACCUCAUAUGUUUUUCACAUGAUAGAUUAAUAUCCAUAAAUUAAUUACUUACGUAAUAAAUUUAAAUUUGAAAACGAAUUUGAACAAUUGGGCUCGAGCCAUGUUUCAGACUUCAAAAAAUGGAUAUAAUUCAUAUUUGAAUAAAAUUGGACGAAUUCAAAUCUAACUUAAUACUUUAAACGAGUACCGAUACAAUAUUAGAGAAAUUUAAGCCAUGAAUGUGAGAAAUAAGCACAAAAACUAAGAUUUCGGUGAGCAUCUUUGAAAGGAAAAAUUGAUGGACUUUCAACAUGGACUAUGUCAUAUUUUUUUUUUUAAUUACAAAAGGUGACUUAUAAAGAGAUUACAAUAUUUUUAAGAAAAUGAAAUAAAAUAACUAAAAGAAUAUUUUUGUUUAAAAUAUUUUUUAUUUUAAACUCAUGAAUUCAGAAUUCAACGUGUAACCAAAUCUUUUCAAAAAAAAAUUUAUAGAUAUAAGAAUAGUGACAAAGACAUCAAAUUUGGUGUUAUUGAGUUAUAAAUUUUAUUCGCUUAAAAUAAAAUAACACGGAGAAAUAAGUUAUAUAUAUUAAAGUAUUAAAACUAUAAUUUUCAUAUGCCAUACAUCAAUGUAUAACAUACGAGUUAAAUAAAAUGAUUCAAACUAUAAUUAAAUUAAUUAUUCAUUUACAAAUUAAACUAAUAAAAUAUAAUUAAUUCUGGAAUGGAUAAUCCGACGCGAUAAGAUGAAAACUAAUAUCUGAUUAGACGGGAAUAGAACAAGAAUAGUUUUCCAUAAUCCAGAAUAUCGAACACCUGAUUUGAUCUUUAACGAUUGAACAUGAUAUGAUACAUUGCUCACCCCUAAGAAAUAAGAGUAUCAAAAUAUUUAAAAAUGUGAGUUUGCACAAAGCUAAAAAAGUAACUAUACGACUAAUUAAACUAAAUAUUUCUUAUUUUUAUGAACUCCAUGGUGCCUAACUAACAUCUACUCUAUUUUUGCUAUUUGAGAUCUGGUUUAUAAAGAUUACAUGAAAAAUAUUAAAAGUCUUAGUCAACAAGCUCAGAAAACUAAUGAUAAAAAAUUAAUAUUUUAUAACAACACAAUAUUAUAACACGCGGUAUCAAAGUAAUAAUCAUCUAAUAUUUUAAAUUAACAAAAAAAAAAUAUAAGGCAUUGAAGUACUAUAUGAUUGGAAAAUUAAAAGGGUAAGCCACAUCAAACGUGUCAGAAUUUUUCGGGUACAAUUAUAAGGUUAGUAGUUCAAUUAAUGCUUUUAUAAUAAAGUAAGGUAGGUCUUUUACAUAUGUUUCAAUUAUUAUUUAUACAAAGUGUGUGCAACAUAUAAUAAAAAAGAAUGUGUUGAUGGUCUGUCCAUCAUCUAUCACUUAACUAUUACAUAAACGUAUGCUCAAAAAAAGAGAAAUAAAUAUAAUAUAACGCGGACCACACAUAUUCAUCUAAUCAUGAUUGAGGAUAUCGUAAUUCACAUAUCAAGAACAAGUUUUCAUAUUUGAUGGAAUAAUUUAAUAAUUUUCAGUAAUAAAUUACAGACCUUUUUAAUGAGGUAUAUUAUAUUUAAAUUUUAAAAGUUUCAGUAUUAAUUUCGAAUAUAAUUUUGAACAUGUAGAUAAUAUGAUAAUGGCCUCUAUAUCCUAACGCAAACGUAUGCUCAAAAAAAGAGAAAUAAAUAUAAUAUAACGCGGACCACACAUAUUCAUCUAAUCAUGAUUGAGGAUAUCGUAAUUCACAUAUCAAGAACAAGUUUUCAUAUUUGAUGGAAUAAUUUAAUAAUUUUCAGUAAUAAAUUACAGACCUUUUUAAUGAGGUAUAUUAUAUUUAAAUUUUAAAAGUUUCAGUAUUAAUUUCGAAUAUAAUUUUGAACAUGUAGAUAAUAUGAUAAUGGCCUCUAUAUCCUAACGAAUUUGAAUAUAGAAAAAUCAGUUCAAAUGUUGUUUUUGAUCCAUAAUUUUUUUUUAAAUACAGUACAUAUUAUUACUAUCAACGCUAUUAGAUUGCAAAUGUUACAUUUCAUAUUUACAUAUUCUGUUAAAAAAUAAGACGUAAUAGUUAUGCUCGAAAUAAUAUGAUGACACACGAAUAUUAUUUAAAACACAAAAAAAAACUAGAGUCCCGUGCCUCGCACGGGCUUUUAUGCUAGUAAAGAUUUGAGAAGGAAAAGUCAAAGUUCGGGUUUGACCCGGCAAAUACCCAAACCUUGUCCGAGAAAUAUUAGUUAUAUUUAUCCAACGCGUUAACAGCUGACCGCCUAAAAGCAUUCCGCGUGAUUUGUGCGUUGCCAUCAAGCAACUCUUGCCGACCUUAAUUGCCUAUAUAUACCACACGCAACCCGCACUUUCCUUUAUCUUCGCAAUUUAGAUUGCUCUCUCCCUCCUCACCAAUCUCUCUCUCUCUCCAAUUCAGAUUGCUCUCUUCUCUCCUCACAAAUCUCUCUAUCCUGUUUAGAAAUUGAUAAGGAUGACGAUACAUGGCAGGUACGUUAAUUAUCGAAUCUCUCUUCCUCGCUUCCCUCUCUCGAUCUCCGCAAGGAGGUUAAUUAUAUAAUCGUUUCCGAUUAAUAUUUUUGAUGGAUCCCGGCGAAGAUCUAGAAAUUCUAAUUAGAUGUUGUAUCAUGUUAAUGAUUACUAAAUUCAAUAUGAUGAUGAUGAGAGCACUUGUUCUGCGAGAACUAGAUGUAAUUCAUGCCUCCUCAAAGAUCAUUAUGGUAAAACCUAUUUUAAGCCUUCUUAAUUGUGCCUGAUGUCAAGUUUCUGCUAGUUUUGGGUUGAUGCUUUUCUAUCGGUAUUGUUUUGGUCUUGUUGUCAAUGAAGAUUCCAGAUCUCUCUGAGUUAUUUUGUUGAUGAGGCACUACUGAUGAGGACUUGUGCGGUAAUGUUUUGAUGAUUUAGAUCACUGUCUGUUUUAGAUCAUUACCUGUGUAUCUGGUAUUGGUUUUGUUGAUGAAGAUUCUAGGUUUCUAUCUAAUGAUCUUGUCCGGAAAGUGACUUACAUAUGAAGAGGCGGAAGUGACUUAUGCGGUAACAUCAUAACCUGUGACCUGUGUAUCUGCUAGUUUUUGGUUGAUGCUUUACUAUGGGUAUUGGUUUUGUUGAUGAAGAUUCAGGUGUUUCUUCCAUGUUAAAAUUACGAGCUUGUGUAUCUGCUAGUUUUUGGUUGAUGCUUCACUCUGGGUAUUUUUCUUCUUGAUGGAGAUUCUAGGUUUCUCUUCCAUGUUAAAAUUAUGAGAAGUGAAUAAUGAGGAGGAUUUGAGCGUAACUGCUCAUUUUGUUUUGAGUAGUUAUUUGUUGAUAUUGUUGUAGCAAUGGUGUGUUGUGUGUUGGCUGGUUUAUUCACGAAAGUUUUAGAACAGAUCAUUCUAAGAGAAAGAGAUGAGACAAGUGGAUGAGCACAGUGGUACCAUGCCUAUUCUCAAUGCAAUAUUAUAAAUUAAAGCUGGUUAGACUUUGUAGGUCGAGUAGUGAUGGACGUUUAUGGGGGUUAUGUCGGGCUAUUAACAUUUAUUCUUCUGUGUUGUUCAAUGUUCCAGUUCUGUGAAGGUUUUGGGAAGUGAUAAGCUAUAAAGGAUUUCGAUAGUUAGGUAUGUACAUGCGAUGGGCAGACUAUUGAGGACUGUCUUUGGUUUGAUCUCAUUCUUCAUUGUUUGGAGGAAAUGUAUAAACAUUGACUAGAAGCUGUAUUAUUUUACAUGUGUAGCAUUGUUGUACAUGAUAAUGUGUGUUUUAUGCAAGAUGUUCUACAUUAUUGAAGUGUUAAUAAAUUUGAAGACAAAAGUUGUGACUCUUUCAACAUGUGAUCCGAUUCUUAACUAUCGUUGUUGUUUGAACCUUUCUUACGAUAUUGUUUAUCUGACGCCCCUUCUAUUGAUAGAGUAAUGUUUUGUGUCUCUUAUACCUUGUUUGUUGUACAGAAAUAUAACUUUGUUUCAGAGUUAUGGACCACACGAGAUUCAACAAAAGAUAACUGUUUCAUCACCCAGCUAUUUUUCUCUUAUAUUCUUGCAGUGCCCCUAUACUUACUAUUUUUUCCCCCCUUCCGUAUACAGUUCAUUUAUGUUUACAUGGCCUGUCAUUUCUCUAACGAAGAUUUGAAUAUGCUUUUGUCGCUAAUGAUUUCAGAAUUACCGGAGCUUGAAACCAUUGAGGCUGCUAAAGUUCAACUAACUUUAUGGUGAUUUCAAUGGUGAUGCUUAACUGAAGUNCCACCCCACGAAAUUGUUUUGAAGUUGAAGACAAAAGUUGUGACUCUUUCAACAUGUGAUCUUAAUCUAAACUAUUGUUGUCGUUUGAACCUUUCUCACGAUAUUGUUUUAAUCUAAUGCCCCUUCUAUUGCUAGAGUAAUGUUUUGUGUCUGUUAUACCUUGUUACAGAAAUCUAACCUUGUUUCAGAGUUAUUAACCACAGCCGUGAGAUUCAACAAAAGAUAACUGUUUCAUCACCCAGCUAUUUUUCUCUUAUAUUCUUGCAGUGCCCCUAUACUUACUAUUCUUACAGUUUAUUGAUUUACAUGGCCUGUCAAUUCUGUAACGAAAAUUUGAAUAUGCUUUGUCGCUCAUGAUUUCAGAAUUUACCGGAGCUUGAAACCAUCGAGGCUGCUAAAGUUCAACUAAUUUUAUGGUGAUUCUUAACUAAAUUCAUGAUUAAGCUGAUUGCUGAUUUCUUUAAUUUCAAAGACUAAAUUUGCUACUAUCAAGCUCUCUCCCACUCACACCACCCCCCCCUCUUCCUCUUCCCCCCUCUCUUCCUCUCCCCCUUCCCUCUCUUCCUCUCUCCCCCUCUCUCUAUAUGUUGAAAUUUUGGAGAGGUCGAUACAUCAUAUUGGUGCUAUUAGGGAAUAAUGUCCCAUUUUGUUUAUUGUUGUCUCCUUAGAGAUGUUGUGGUAGAACCACUUUAAACCUUUUUUGUUCCUGAUAUUAAGUUUCUGCUAGUUUCUAGUUAAUGCUCUUCUGUUUGUGUUUUUGGUGCAAGUGUCUAUGAAGAUUACAAGUUUCUCAAGUAAUAUAGGUGUCCACUGAAGUUGAAUUUUAAAUAGAGAAAUUGUGCGGUAAAAUGUCUGUUGAUUUCGAUCAAUCACGUCUUAGAUUAUUAUCUGUGCAUCUGCUUGUUAUCUGUUUGAUGCUUUUCUACUGGUAUGGGUAGUGUUGAUGAAGAAAUCAAGAAUAUAGGUCUCCAUAAUUUCGUAAGGAAAGUGAUUGAUGAGGAGAAUUUGUGCGGUAGUUUCUGUUUCAAUUUUGAUGCAGCGGUUUGCAAAGAGUCGAGAAUCAACUAAGUGAUCUGUUUCAAUUUUGAUGCAGCAGUUUGCAAAGAAUCGAGAAUCAACUAAGUGAUCGACUAAAUAACCUUAAUAUGAAAAAAUUUGGGUUUUUGAAUCCACAAGAACAUAAACAAUUUUUUGGAUAGAUUGAUACCCCUCCUGUACAGAGAAAGUAUUCUAAUAGACAGACACAACAGCAGGCUUAUUAAACUCGUAAUUGACAUGAUAUUUCUACUGAUUUCAUACAUAAUAAUAAGUGAAUAAGAAGCAUUCACUUAACUGCGUAGAAAGACGACUUCUAACUGCUUACUGGCAGUUAUGUUUCUUCCUAUCUUCCUCUUUGAAGUAUUCUAUACUAGUUGUGCUGCAUAACAUUUUGAGUAGAUAUAUGUUGCUAAUGUUGUUUGCAGUAAGUUUAUUAUGUAGUUUGCUGGUUUUGAUCAUGAACAUUUUAGAUGAGACCACCACAAGAGAUAAUAGACAGGAGGAAAAGUAUAGUGUAACAUGCCUGUUCUCUCUAUGUCCAAGAAGUGAUCACUGAGGUUGAAUUUCCAAUAAAGGAGUUGUGCGGUAAUAUGUCUGCGGAUUUCGGUCAAUCACAUCUUACAUCAUUAUUUGUGUAUCUGCUAGUUUUCAGUUUGAUGAUUUUGUACUGGUAUUGGUAGUGUUGAUGAAGAUUUUGGGUCUCCAUAUGUUGUUCAGAAAGUGGCUGGUGUGUAGAAUUCGUGCGGUAAUUUCUGGUUCCAUUUUGAGUAGAUAAUCGUUUCUAUUGUUGUUUGCAGUAAGUUUAUUGUUUAGUUUACUGAUUUUGUUCAUGAACAUUUUCGAUGAGAAUAGACAGGAGGAAGAGUAUAUUAGUGGUAAGAUGCCUGUUUGCGUAAUAUUCAAGAUUGAAGCAGGUUAGAAUUUGUAGGUGAGCUGUGGACGUCUUAAUGUGAGUUAUUCUGGGUUAUUAAUCUUUGUUUUAUCAAAUUUUCUCCGCUACGGUAUUAUUCUUUAUCGCAGUUGGGUCGGUUUUCAAAUUGGUUCGGAAAUUUAUCAGGUGUAAAGGAUUUUGAUAGUUUGGUAUGUAUGUGACUAUGUGCAAUGGGCAGAAAUAUUGGUGAUGGUAUCUGGUUUAAUAUUUUUUUUAAUUGUUUGGUGGAGAGGCAUAAACUUUGAUUAUUAGUUCUAUUGCUUAACCUGGGUGGCAUUGUUGAAUCGAGAUGAAUGUGUUUUGGCAUGUACGCAAGACGUUCGACACCAUCGAUACAGUUGGAGCGAUGUUAGAGUCAUGAUUAUUUCGACUGGUGAAAUAGGCGGCGGUAGAAUACCCUCAAUCUUAACUAAUCAUUGCUUUUUGGAAAAUUUUAUUUGAAUUGGUUUUUUCAUCAUAUGCCACUUUUUUGUUGUAGCUUUGUUUUGUGUCUAUGAUACUAUGUUUGCUCUACAGGAGUUUAACUAUGUUUCAGCCUUAUUGACCACAGCAGCUAGAUUCACCCAAUCUCACUCUCUGUCAUUUCAGAUUGCUCCCCCUCUCUCCACACAAAUCUCUUUCUCCUAUUUAGAUAUUGACAAGGACGAUGAUACAGGGCAGGUAAGUUAAUCAUCGAUUCUCUCUCCAUCGCUUCCUUCUCUCGAUCUCUGCAAGUGAUUACAUAAUUCAACAUGAUGAUGGUGAUGUUGAGAGCACUUGUUUUGGGGAGAACUAAAUUUAAUUCAUAAUUCCUCAAAGAUUGUUAUGGUAAAACUUAUUUAAGCCUUCUUAAUCGUGCCUGGUGUUAGGUUUUGGGUUGAUGCUUUUUUAUUGGUAUUGGCGUGGUUUUAUUGUCAAUGAAGAUUCCAGAUUUCUUGGCUUGUUUUGUUGACAAGGGACUAAUAAGGACUUGUGUGGUAACAUUUUUGAUGAUAAACCCAGUCUGUAAUUUAUCAACCACUAUCUGUUUUAGAUCAUUACCUGUGUAUCUGGUAUGGGUUUUGUUGAUGAAGAUUCUAGGUUUCUCUCUAGUGAACUUUACCGGAAAUUGACUGACUAAUGAAGGGGCGAAAAUUGACUAAUGUGGAGGACUUAUGCGGUAACAUCAUAACCUGUGUGUAUCUGCUAGUUUUCGGUUAAUGCUUUACUAUGGGUAUUGGUUUUGUUGAUGAAGAUUCUAGGUUUCUCUACCAUGUUAUUAAGAGAAGUGAAUAAUGUGGAUGAUUUUUGCGGUAAAUUCUGUUUUCAGUUUGAGUAAAUAUUUGUUGAUACUGUUUUAGCAAUGGUGCAUCGUGUGUUUGCUGUUUUUAUUUACGCAGAUUUAAGAACAGAUCAUUUUAAGGGAAAGAAAUGAGACAAGUGGAUGAGCACAGGGGUAACAUGCCUAUGCUCUAUGCAAUAUUUGAAAUUAAAGCUGGUUAGACUUUGUAGGUCGAGUAUGGAUGGACUUUUAUGGGGAGUUAUGUCGGGUUAUUAACGCUUAUCCUUCAAAUUUUAAUAUCCUUUUGUCACUAAUGAUUUCAGAAUUUGAAUAUGUCUCCAAUGAUUUCAGAAUUUACUCGAGCUUGAAACCACUGAGGCUGCUGAAGUUUACCUAAUUUUAUGGAUAUGCUUAAUGGUGAUGCUUAAGAAAUUCCAUGAUUAUGCUGAUUUGUUUAAAUGAUGGACUAAACUUUCUAAUAUCAAGCUCUCUCUAUCUCGCUCCCUCCCUCCCUCUCUCCCUCUCUCUCGCUCCCUCCCUCCCUCUCUCUCCGUCUCCCUCUCCCUCUCCUUCUGUCCCUCUCCCUCUCUCCAUGCCCCCCUCCCCCCAUAAGUUGAAAUUUUGAGAGUCCGUUACAUCAAAUUUGUUUUAUCGUGGAAUUAUGUCUUAUUUUAUGUAUUGUUGACUCCUCGGAUUGUUGUGGUAGACCCACUUCUAACCUUCUUUGCGUCCCUGAUAUUAAGUUUUUGCUAGUUUUUGGUUAAUGCUGUUCUGUUUGUGUUUUUGGUUCAAGUGUCCAUGAACAUUAUAGGUUUCUCGAGAAAUUUUGUCCAAGUGACCACUGAAGUUGAAUUUUCAACAGAGGAAUUGUGCGGUAACAUGUCUGGAUUUCGGUCAAUCUCGUCUUACAUCAUUAUUUGUGUAUCUGCAAGUUUUUUGUUUGAUGCUUUUGUGCUGGUAUUGGUAGUGUUGAUGAAGAUUUUAGGUCUCAUAAUUUGUUCAGAAAGUGGCCGAUGUGUAGAAUUCGUUCGGUAAUUUCAGGUUCCAUUUUGAGUAGAUAAUCGUUUCUAUUGUUGUUUGCAGUAGGUUUAUUGUUUAGUUUGCUUAUUUUGAUGUUGAACAUUUUAGAUGAGACCAUUAAAAAAGAGAAUAGACAGGAGGAAGAGAUAUUAGUAGUAACAUGCUUGCUUUUUCUGCCUAAUAUUCAAGAUUGAUGCAGGUUAGAAUUUUUAGGUGAGGUAUAGAUGCUUUAAAGUGAGUUAUUCUGGGUUUUUAACUUUUGGUGUGUCAGAUUUUCUCCUCUUCUGUAUUAUCAUUUGUUGCCGUUGUGUGAAAGGCUUUCGAAUUGGUUCGGAAAUUUCUGAGGUGUAAAGGAUUUUGAUGGUUUGGUAUGUAUGUGCGAUGGGCAGAAUAUUGGUGAUGCAAUCUGGUUUAAUAUUUUUAUUAAUUGUUUGGUGGACAUGCAUAAAAUUUCAUUAGUGGUUCAAUUGCUUAACCUGGGUGGCAUUAUUGAAUCUGAUAGAUGAAUGUGUUUUGGUCUAUAUGCAAGAUGUUCGACACCAUCGAUACUGUUGGACCGAUGUUAGAGUUGAAGACGAAGUCAUGACUAUUUCAACUGGUGAAAUAGGCGGUUGUAGAAUAUCCUUAAUCUUUAUUAAUCAUUGCUUUUUGGAAACUUUUAUUUGAUUUGGUUUUUUCCUCAUAUGCCACUUUUUUGUUGUAGCUUUGUUUUGUGUUUAUGAUAUUAUGUUUGCUCUACAGGAGUUUAACUAUGUUUCAGCCUUAUUGACCACAGCAGCUAGAUUCACCCAAUCUCACUCUCUCUCAUUUCAGAGUGCUCCCCCUCUCUCCUCACAGAUCUCUUUCUCCUAUUUAGAAAUUGACAAGGACGAUGAUAAAGGGCAGGUAUUUUUAAUCAUCGAUUCUCUCUCCGUCGCUUCCUUCUCUCGAUCUCUGCAAGUGAUUACAUAAUUCAACACAUCAUGAUGUUGAGAGCACUUGUUUUGGGGAGAAAUUCCUCAAAGAUUUUUAUGGUAAAACUUAUUUAAGCCUUCUUAAUCGUGCCUGGUGUUAGGUUUUGGGUUGAUGCUUUUUUAUUGGUAUUGGUGAGGUUUUAUUGUCAAUGAAGAUUCCAGUUCUCUUGGCUUGUUUUGUUUACGAGGGACUAAUAAGGAGGUGGACUUGUGUGGUAACAUUUUUGAUGACUAAGAUCCCUGUCUCUUUUUGAUCGAUCACUAUCUGUUUUAGAUCAUUACCUGUGUAUCUGGUAUCGGUUUUGUUGAUGAAGAUUCUAGGUUUCUCUCUGGUGAACUUUACCGGAAAUUGACUGACUAAUGAAGGGGCGAAAAUUGACUAAUGUGGAGGACUUAUGCGGUAACAUCAUAACCUGUGUGUAUCUGCUAGUUUUCGGUUAAUGCUUUACUAUGGGUAUUGUUUUUGUUGAUGAAGAUUCUAGGUUUCUCUACCAUGUUAUUAAGAGAAGUGAAUAAUGAGGAGGAUUUUUGCGGUAAAUUCUGUUUUCAGUUUGAGUAAAUAUUUGCUGAUACUGUUUUAGCAAUGGUGCAUCGUGUCUUCGCUGUUUUUAUUCACGCAGAUUUCAGAACAGAUCAUUUUAAGAGAAAGAAAUGAGACAAGUGGAUGAGCACAGUGGUAACAUGCCUAUUCUCUAUGCAAUAUUUGAAAUUAAAGCUGGUUAGACUUUGUAGGUCGAGUAUGGAUGGACUUUUAUGGGCAGUUAUGUCGGGUUAUUAACGCUUAUCCUUCAAAUUUUAAUAUCCUUUUGUCGCUAAUGAUUUCAGAAUUUGAAUAUGUCUCGGAUGAUUUCAGAAUUUACCCGAGCUUGAAACCACUGAGGCUGCUGAAGUUUAGCUAAUUUUAUGGAUAUGCUUAAUGGUGAUGCUUAACAUAUUCCAUGAUUAUGCUGAUUUGUUUAAAUGAUGGACUAAACUUUCUAAUAUCAAGCUUUCUCUCCCCCCCUCCACCCUCUCUCUCUGUCUCCCUCUCCCUCUCUCCAUGCCCCCCCUCCCCCCAUAAGUUGAAAUUUUAAGAGUCCGUAACAUCAUAUUUGUUUUAUCGGGGAAUCAUGUCUUAUUUUUUGAAUUGUCGACUCCUCUGGGAUUGUUGUGGUAGACCCACUUCUUGUCGUAGACCCACUUCAAACCUUCUUUUUGUCCCUGAUAUUAAGUUUUUGCUAGUUUUUGGUUAAUGCUGUUCUGUUUGUGUUUUUGGUUCAAGUUUCCAUGAACAUUAUAGGUUUUUUGAGGAAUUUUUUCCAAGUGACCACUGAAGUUGAAUUUUCAACAGAGGAAUUGUGCGGUAAAUGUCUGUGGAUUUCGGUCAAUCUCGUCUUACAUCAUUAUCUGUGUAUCUGCAAGUUUUCUGUUUGAUGCUUUUGUGCUGGUAUUGGUAGUGUUGAUGAAGAUUUUAGGUCUGCAUAAUUUGUUCAGAAAGUGGCCGAUGUGUAGAAUUCGUUCGGUAAUUUCAGGUUCUAUUUUGAGUAGAUAAUCGUUUCUAUUGUUGUUUGCAGUAGGUUUAUUGUUUAGUAUGCUUAUUUUGAUGUUGAACAUUAUAGAUGAGGCCGUUAAAAAAGAGAAUAGACAGGAGGAAGAGAUAUUAGUAGUGACAUGCUUGCUUUCUCUGCCUAAUAUUCAAGAUUGAUGCAGGUUAGAAAUUUUAGGUGAGGUAUAGAUGCUUUAAAGUGAGUUAUUCUGGGUUUUUAACGUUUGGUGUUUCAGAUUUUCUCCUCUCCUGUAUUAUCAUUUGUUGCUGUUGUGUGAAAGGCUUUCGAAUUGGUUCGGAAAUUUAUGAGGUGUAAAGGAUUUUGAUGGUUUGGUAUGUAUGUGCGAUGGGCAGAAUAUUGGUGAUGCAAUCUGGUUUAAUAUUUUUAUUAAUUGUUUGGUGGACAUGCAUAAACUUUCAUUAGUAGUUCAAUUGCUUAACCUGGGUGGCAUUGUUGAAUCUGAUAGAUGAAUGUGUUUUGGUGUAUAUGCAAGAUGUUCGACACCAUCGAUACCGUUGGACCGAUGUUAGAGUUGAAGACGAAGUCAUGACUAUUUCAACUGGUGAAAUAGGCGGUUGUAGAAUAACCUUAAUCUUAAUUAAUCAUUGCUUUUUGGAAACUUUUAUUUGAUUUGGUUUUUUCAUCAUAUGCCACUCUUUUGUUGUAGCUUUGUUUUGUGUCUAUGAUAUUAUGUUUGCUCUACUGGAGUUUAACAAUGUUUCAGCCUUAUUGACCACAGCAGCUAGAUUCACCCAAUCUUACUCUCUCUCAUUUCAGAUUGCUCCCACUCUCUCCUCACAGAUCUCUUUCUCCUAUUUAGAAAUUGACAAGGACUAUGAUAAAGGGCAGGUAAGUUAAUCAUCGAUUCUCUCUCCGUCGCUUCCUUCUCUCGAUCUCAGCAAGUGAUUACAUAAUUCAACAUGAUGAUGAUGAUGCUGAGAGCACUUGUUUUGGGGAGAACUAAAUUUAAUUCAAGAUUCCUCAAAGAUUGUUAUGGUAAAACUUAUUUAAGCCUUCUUAAUCGUGCCUGGUGUUAGGUUUUGGGUUGAUGCUUUUUUAUUGGUAUUGGUGAGGUUUUAUUGUCAAUGAAGAUUCCAGUUUCCUUGGCUUGUUUUGUUUACGAGGGACUAAUAAGGAGGUGGACUUGUGUGGUAACAUUUUUGAUGACUAAGAUCCCUGUCUGUUUUUCAUCGAUCACUAUCUGUUUUAGAUCAUUACCUGUGUAUCUGGUAUCGGUUUUGUUGAUGAAGAUUCUAGGUUUCUCUCUAGUGUACUUUACCGGANNNNNNNNNNNNNNNNNNNNNNNNNNNNNNNNNNNNNNNNNNNNNNNNNNNNNNNNNNNNNNNNNNNNNNNNNNNNNNNNNNNNNNNNNNNNNNNNNNNNNNNNNNNNNNNNNNNNNNNNNNNNNNNNNNNNNNNNNNNNNNNNNNNNNNNNNNNNNNNNNNNNNNNNNNNNNNNNNNNNNNNNNNNNNNNNNNNNNNNNNNNNNNNNNNNNNNNNNNNNNNNNNNNNNNNNNNNNNNNNNNNNNNNNNNNNNNNNNNNNNNNNNNNNNNNNNNNNNNNNNNNNNNNNNNNNNNNNNNNNNNNNNNNNNNNNNNNNNNNNNNNNNNNNNNNNNNNNNNNNNNNNNNNNNNNNNNNNNNNNNNNNNNNNNNNNNNNNNNNNNNNNNNNNNNNNNNNNNNNNNNNNNNNNNNNNNNNNNNNNNNNNNNNNNNNNNNNNNNNNNNNNNNNNNNNNNNNNNNNNNNNNNNNNNNNNNNNNNNNNNNNNNNNNNNNNNNNNNNNNNNNNNNNNNNNNNNNNNNNNNNNNNNNNNNNNNNNNNNNNNNNNNNNNNNNNNNNNNNNNNNNNNNNNNNNNNNNNNNNNNNNNNNNNNNNNNNNNNNNNNNNNNNNNNNNNNNNNNNNNNNNNNNNNNNNNNNNNNNNNNNNNNNNNNNNNNNNNNNNNNNNNNNNNNNNNNNNCCACCCCCCCCCCCCCCCCCCAACUCUCUCUCUUUCUCGCUCCCUCCCUCCCUAUCUCUCAGUCUCCCUCUCCCUCUCCCUCUCCCUCUCUCCAUGCCUCCCCUCCCCCCAUAAGUUGAAAUUUUGAGAGUCCGUAACAUCAUAUUUGUUUUAUCGGGGAAAUAUGUCUUAUUUUUUGUAGGAUUGUUGUGGUAGACCCACUUCUAACCUUCUUUGCGUCCUUGAUAUUAAGUUUUUGCUAGUUUUUGGUUAAUGCUGUUCUGUUUGUGUUUUUGGUUCAAGUGUCCAUGAACAUUAUAGGUUUCUCGAGAAAUAUUGUCCAAGUGACCACUGAAGUUGAAUUUUCAACAGAGGAAUUGUGCGGUAACAUGUCUGUGGAUUUCGGUCAAUCUCGUCUUACAUCAUUAUUUGUGUAUCUGCAAGUUUUUUGUUUGAUGCUUUUGUGCUGGUAUUGGUAGUGUUGAUGAAGAUUUUAGGUCUGCAUAAUUUGUUCAGAAAGUGGCCGAUGUGUAGAAUUCGUUCGGUAAUUUCAGGUUCUACUUUGAGUAGAUAAUCGUUUCUAUUGUUGUUUGCAGUAGGUUUAUUGUUUAGUAUGCUUAUUUUGAUGUUGAACAUUUUAGAUGAGGCCGUUAAAAAAGAGAAUAGACAGGAGGAAGAGAUAUUAGUGGUGACAUUCUUGCUUUCUUUGCCUAAUAUUCAAGAUUGAUGCAGGUUAGAAAUUUUCGGUGAGGUAUAGAUGCUUUAAAGUGAGUUAUUAUGGGUUUUUAACGUUUGGUGUAUCAGAUUUUCUCCUCUCCUGCAUUAUCAUUUGUUGCUGUUGUGUGAAAGGCUUUCGAAUUGGUUCGGAAAUUUAUGAGGUGUAAAGGAUUUUGAUGGUUUGGUAUGUAUGUGCGAUGGGCAGAAUAUUGGUGAUGCAAUCUGGUUUAAUAUAUUUUUUAAUUGUUUGGUGGACAUGCAUAAACUUUCAUUAGUAGUUCAAUUGCUUAACCUGGGUGGCAUUGUUGAAUCUGAUAGAUGAAUGUGUUUUGGUGUAUAUGCAACAUGUUCGAUACCAUCGAUACCGUUGGACCGAUGUUAGAGUUGAAGACUAAGUCAUGACUAUUUCAACUGGUGAAAUAGGCGGUUGUAGAAUAACCUUAAUGUUAAUUAAUCAUUGCUUUUUGGAAACUUUUAUUUGAUUUGGUUUUUUCAUCAUAUGCCACUUUUUUGUUGUAGCUUUGUUUUGUGUCUAUGAUAUUAUGUUUGCUCUACAGGAGUUUAACCAUGUUUCAGCCUUAUUGACCACAACAGCUAGAUUCACCCAAUCUCACUCUCUCUCAUUUCAGAUUGCUCCCACUCUCUCCUCACAGAUCUCUUUCUCCUAUUUAGAAAUUGACAAGGACUAUGAUAAAGGGCAGGUAAGUUAAUCAUCGAUUCUCUCUCCGUCGCUUCCUUCUCUCGAUCUCUGCAAGUGAUUACAUAAUUCAACAUGAUGAUGAUGAUGCUGAGAGCACUUUUUUUGGGGAGAACUGAAUUUAAUUCAAGAUUCCUCAAAGAUUGUUAUGGUAAAACUUAUUUAAGCCUUCUUAAUCGUGCCUGGUGUUAGGUUCUGGGUUAAUGCUUUUUUAUUGGUAUUGGUGAGGUUUUAUUGUCAAUGAAGAUUCCAGUUCUCUUGGCUUGUUUUGUUUACGAGGGACUAAUAAGGAGGUGGACUUGUGUGGUAACAUUUUUGAUGACUAAGAUCCCUGUCUGUUUUUGAUCGAUCACUAUCUGUUUUAGAUCAUUACCUGUGUAUCUGGUAUCGGUUUUGUUGAUGAAGAUUCUAGGUUUCUCUCUAGUGAACUUUACCGGAAAUUGACCGACUAAUGAAGGGGCGAAAAUUGACUAAUGUGGAGGACUUAUGCGGUAACAUCAUAACCUGUGUGUAUCUGCUAGUUUUCGGUUAAUGCUUUACUAUGGGUAUUGGUUUUGUUGAUGAAGAUUUUAGGUUUCUCUAAUGUUAUUAAGAGAAGUGAAUAAUGAGGAGGAUUUUUGCGGUAAAUUCUGUUUUCAGUUUGAGUAAAUAUUUGUUAAUACUGUUUUAGCAAUGGUGCAUCGUGUGUUCUGCUGUUUUUAUUGAUGCAGAUUUAAGAACAGAUCAUUUUAAGAGAAAGAAAUGAGACAAGUGGAUGAGCACAGUGGUAACAUGCCUAUUCUCUAUGCAAUAUUUGAAAUUAAAGCUGGUUAGACUUUGUAGGUCGAGUAUGGAUGGACUUUUAUUGGCAGUUAUGUCCGGUUAUUAACGCUUAUCCUUCAACUUUUAAUAUCCUUUUGUCACUAAUGAUUUCAGAAUUUGAAUAUGUCUCUAAUGAUUUCAGAAUUUACCCGAUCUUGCAACCACUGAGGCUGCUGAAGUUUACCUAAUUUUAUGGAUAUGCUUAAUGGUGAUGCUUAACAUAUUCCAUCAUUAUGCUGAUUUGUUUAAAUGAUGGACUANNNNNNNNNNNNNNNNNNNNNNNNNNNNNNNNNNNNNNNNNNNNNNNNNNNNNNNNNNNNNNNNNNNNNNNNNNNNNNNNNNNNNNNNNNNNNNNNNNNNNNNNNNNNNNNNNNNNNNNNNNNNNNNNNNNNNNNNNNNNNNNNNNNNNNNNNNNNNNNNNNNNNNNNNNNNNNNNNNNNNNNNNNNNNNNNNNNNNNNNNNNNNNNNNNNNNNNNNNNNNNNNNNNNNNNNNNNNNNNNNNNNNNNNNNNNNNNNNNNNNNNNNNNNNNNNNNNNNNNNNNNNNNNNNNNNNNNNNNNNNNNNNNNNNNNNNNNNNNNNNNNNNNNNNNNNNNCUCCCUCCCUCCCUCUCUGUCUCCCUGUCCCUCUCCUUCUGUCCCUCUGCCUCUCUCCAUGCCCCCCCUCCCCCCAUAAGUUGAAAUUUUAAGAGUCCGUAACAUCAUAUUUGUUUUAUCGGGGAAUCAUGUCUUAUUUUUUGAAUUGUUGACUCCUCUGGGAUUGUUGUGGUAGACCCACUUCUUGUGGUAGACCCACUUCAAACCUUCUUUUUGUCCCUGGUAUUAAGUUUUUGCUAGUUUUUGGUUAAUGCUGUUCUGUUUGUGUUUUUGGUUCAAGUUUCCAUGAACAUUAUAGGUUUUUUGAGGAAUUUUUUCCAAGUGACCACUGAAGUUGAAUUUUCAACAGAGGAAUUGUGCGGUAAUAUGUCUGUGGAUUUCGGUCAAUCUCGUCUUACAUCAUUAUGUGUGUAUCUACAAAUUUUCUGUUUCAUGCUUUUGUGCUGGUAUUGGUAGUGUUGAUGAAGAUUUUAGGUCUCCAUAAUAUGUUCAGAAAGUGGCCGAUGUGUAGAAUUCGUUCGGUAAUUUCAGGUUCCAUUUUGAGUAGAUAAUCGUUUCUAUUGUUGUUUGCAGUAGGUUUAUUGUUUAGUAUGCUUAUUUUGAUGUUGAACAUUUUAGAUGAGCGCAUUAAAAAAGAGAAUAGACAGGAGGAAGAGAUAUUAGUAGUAACAUGCUUGCUUUUUCUGCCUAAUAUUCAAGAUUGAUGCAGGUUAGAAUUUUUGGGUGAGGUAUAGAUGCUUUAAAGUGAGUUAUUCUGGGUUUUUAACAUUUGGUGUAUCAGAUUUUCUCCUCUCCUGUAUUAUCAAUUGUUGCCGUUGUGUGAAAGGCUUUCGAAUUGGUUCGGAAAUUUGUGAGGUGUAAAGGAUUUUGAUGGUUUGGUAUGUAUGUGCGAUGGGCAGAAUAUUGGUGAUGCAAUCUGGUUUAAUAUUUUUAUUUAAGUUACCUGGACUCGGCUAAAAGUGUCCAACAUGGAUACGUGUCGAAGUGUCGGACUCAGCAAUAAUUUGAAAAUUUUACAUGUUUUUGUCUUAAAAUAAGUGUAGGAGUGUCCAUACCCAUGUCCGAGUGUCGAGUGUCCGACACGGAUACUCGAGACAAAAUGAAGAGUCCGGGUAACAUAGAUUUUUAUUAAUUGUUUGGUGGACAUGCAUAAACUUCAUUAGUAGUUCAAUUGCUUAACCUGGGUGGCAUUGUUGAAUCUGAUAGAUGAAUGUGUUUUGGUGUAUAUGCAAGAUGUUCGACACCAUCGAUACCGGUGGACCGAUGUUAGAGUUGAAGACGAAGUCAUGACCAUUUCAACUGGUGAAAUAGGCGGUUGUAGAAUAACCUUAAUCUUAAUUAAUCAUUGCUUUUUGGAAACUUUUAUUUGAUUUGGUUUUUUCAUCAUAUGCCACUUUUUUGUUGUAGCUUUGUUUUGUGUCUAUGAUAUUAUGUUUGCUCUACAGGAGUUUAACUAUGUUUCAGCCUUAUUGACCACAGCAGCUAGAUUCACCCAAUCUCACUCUCUCUCAUUUCAGAUUGCUUCCCCUCUCUCCUCACAGAUCUCUUUCUCCUAUUUAGAAAUUGACAAGGACUAUGAUAAAGGGCAGGUAAGUUAAUUAUCGAUUCUCUCUCCGUCGCUUCCUUCUCUCGAUCUCUGCAAGUGAUUACAUAAUUCAACAUGAUGAUGAUGAUGGUGAGAGCACUUUUUUUGGGGAGAACUAAAUUUAAUUCAAGAUUCCUCAAAGAUUGUUUUGGUAAAACUUAUUUAAGCUUUCUUAAUCGUGCCUGGUGUUAGGUUUUGGGUUGAUGCUUUUUUAUUGGUAUUGGUGAGGUUUUAUUGUCAAUAAAGAUUCCAGUUCUCUUGGCUUGUUUUGUUUACGAGGGACUAAUAAGGAGGUGGACUUGUGUGGUAACAUUUUUGAUGACUAAGAUCCCUGUCUGUUUUUGAUCGAUCACUAUCUGUUUUAGAUCAUUACCUGUGUAUCUGGUAUCGGUUUUGUUGAUGAAGAUUCUAGGUUUCUCUCUAGUGAACUUUACCGGAUAUUGACGGACUAAUGAAGAGGCGAAAAGUGAG
rnacentral:lncRNA from 1 species